CCACGGUGGGGGUUUGGAUGUGCUUUUAGUUACCACUUUCUCUCUUGGAUUUGCUUACGUAUUGCUCCUUUGGUAUUAGUCGUUCCUGUCCCACCUUGCUUUUGGAAUUAUGUGCUUUUUAUAUUUCUGAUUGUUCAAUGUUUAUUGUAUGUGCUCCCCAACCUGUGGUGACUUUUCGGUUUAUUCUCACGUGGCUGUUUCUUAUAGGCCUUUCGACCUCCAAUAUUAAAUAAAAGAUCAUUUUGAGCUUUCUAAUUUUAAUUAUUUUUUAUUUAUAUCUCUUCUAAUAUUAAUAAUAAAUAAUAAAAUAUAUAAAUAAAUAAAUGAUUAUAUAGAAUUAAUCUUUUAGGAUGAUUAUUAUUUAAAAAUAGAAAAAUAAUAUAUAUUUAUAUAAUGUUAUGAGAGGUCUUUAGUUAUAUGCAUAAUGCACCCUUGGCGACUUGGGAGUUGGGAUUUCAGUAAUUAUUAUUGUGGUGGGUAAAGCUAUAAACUCGGUUUUGUGUAAGUUCCUUUACUUUCUUGAGGAGUCUAAGGUGGGAAAGAGAAAAACCUUUUCCACUGUAAGAAAGUUUUUUAAAACUAGUAUAUUAGUUUAGUUUCAAUCUAAUGGCUCAAUUUUUUUUUCUUUUCUCCUUGUAUUUUUUAUUCCUUUUCUUCUUAUCUUUCCUUGUUUGCCCCUUCAAUUCUCUUCUUUCUCUCCCAUCUAAAUUUGUCACUAAUUAACAAAUUUCUUAUAUUUACAAUCACAUAUAAAUGAUACAUAAAAUACUGAUAUAUAUUGUCAUAUACAAUUCCAAUAUGAACAAGAAGAUAAAUUUUAAAUAAAGAUAUAAUUAUUUUAUUAGCAGUAAUAUCGAGCAUAAUAACACAUAAUGUGAAAUUCUUAAAAAUAUUUAUGUUCGACAGUAUGAAAAAAUAUUAAUGAAAAAUUUAAAGAUAUAAUGGCAAACAAAAGAUACUUUUUCAUGAAAGAAUAUUUUCAACUAGAGAAAAAUAUGAUUUAAAAUACCUAAUAUAAAAAAAUAAUGCUAACAAGUAUUCUUAGAAUAUUAAUUAAAAAACUUAAAAGUAAAAAUAUUUUUAUCGUGAAAUAAAAAAUUGUUAUUCAUAAUCAUAUUUUUAUAUUCUUCUAGAUAAAUAUUUUUUUUCCUUAACCAAUAUUCUUAUAAAAUACUGGUUUGUAAGACCUUAUAGAAAAACAUAUUUUAUUUAUUGUUAUCAAAUUAGAUUGACUCUAUAUAAAACCUUUGGUUGGGUUUUAGGACUUGGUUUUACUAUUCUUUAACUAACCUCCUCUCCCAAAGCAUCCUAUAUAUUUAUUUCUCAACUCUUAUACUUGGACUCAGUUAUUUUUCUCGGAGACCAAGAAAUUAUACCCAUUUCCAUCAAGAUGAGAGCAUACCUUUGUGCAUCCUUAUUCAUUCUCCUUGUCGAUAAAUUAAUCACUUUCGGCUCCUUGUGUCCUUCCUUCAACAAUGGACAAUAAGUUCUCUCCCACACAGACAAACGAACCACCGCCUUUUCUUACUUCGGCUUCCUUCAAUCCUCUGGUCCAUUCAACGAUUAUUUGGACGAGGAAACAAUAACUGCUACCAGCAAUAUUUCAAUCUGGAAGUUACCGACUACCUAAACGACAAGACGUUUCAGCAAAUCUCGCUGCCGCGAUGUGGCGUCCCUGACAUGAAUUUCGACUACGGCUUCACCGGCAACGUGUCAUGGCCGAAAACCAGGAACCGGUGGUUCCCGGAGAGAAACCACCUCACCUACGGUUUUGAUCCGGCAAGCCAUAUCCAACCCAACGUGAAAAAGAUUUUCAGAGAUGCCUUCAAGAGGUGGGCGCAGGCCACCACAGGGGUUUUGAGGCUUACGGAGACAACCUAAGACAAUGUCGACAUCAAGGAAGGGUUCAGAAUAUUCAACAAUAUUUGGGACCAGGUAUUUAGCCUAAGCUUUAUCAUACUGCAACCUGGCUCUAAUGUCACGACAGGGGACAUACGCCUCAAAGGUGCCAUGUUAUGGUUGCUGCCGAGUGAAAACGAGAGCCUGUCGUGGGAGGACGGAGUUUUGGACUUGGAGAGUGCGGCGAUGCAUCUUCUAGGGCUUGACCACUCUAACAAAGAGGGCUCUGUUAUGUACCCUAACGUAUUGCCAUGGCAGCAACGAAAGGUGGAGCUCUCGGUUUCUGAUAUGUAAAACAUUCAGCUUCACUACACUAACGGCAUCUCUAGCCACAGUGGGCGUUGGGGAGUGCUUUUAAUCAAUAUCUUGUCUCUUGGAUUUGCUUACGAGCUUCUUUAAUUUUGUAUUGGUAUUUGGGUUUAUGAGCUUUUGGGAACAAUUUCAUGACUGUUUACUUGAGUAUAAUGCAUGUGUUCCCCAAACAAUCAAACCCAUAUCCGUCAUAUUGUCCAAAAUUAUUUAAUUUUUUAAAUUGGGAUUGGGAUCAAGAAAGGAAAUAUCAUUAUCCCUCUUAUAUUAUAUUCAUUCUGGUAUUCACUCCAAUGAAUUAUUAAAAUUUUAUGAAUUAUUUGUUAGUUUUUUUUUUAUAUAAAUUUUACAUAAUUUAAAAUUAUUUUCUUGAUAAUUUUUGUAAACAGAUAUUCUACAAAUACAAAUAUUUUAAAAUAAAUAUGUAAUAAUUAAUUAUUUUUAAAUCAAAUUUUUAAUAUAAUUUUUUUUUAAAAUUUAAAUUGGGAACGGGACACCCAAUAAAUAAUGAACAAAUUUUAACUCGUUAAUUAUAAGUUAUCGAAUACAAAUACCAGUAUAUAUUAAAAAAUUGAGGUUAGAGAGACUUAGAAGGCAAUAUCCAUCCUAACCCCGCCCGGUCCGGUUACCUUGUCUACCCCCAACCGUGAUUUAUUCAGUUAUUGCAUUAACAAAAGAUUAUCCACUAUUGUAUGAAUUUAAUUAUAGACCAUUAAGCUGGCAUAACUUUUAAGUCUGGUUAAUAUAAGAAAUUAAAAGGGUGCGUGAAUAUUUACUACAGAUUCUGGGCUGUAAGUAAUGUGAUUAACCAUUAGUUAUACACGUACCUUAAAAGAAAAUACUCUGGGAGCCAGAACAAAUUAAAUCUUACUAUAUAUUAACUACCCUUUUUUAUAUUUUUAAUUUUGGAUAAAAAUAUUUUUACUCCAUCUGAAAUAUGGGAAAUUUAAAAUUAGUCUCUUUAAAUUUUUUUGUCUCAAUGUCUCUAAAAUUUUAACAUGUUAUUUCAUUUAGCAUGUUAAUUAAUUUGUUACUAAACAAUGUAUCUAACACCUUAUGAUUACCAAUUUUUCAUUUUCUGUCAGUUCACCCUGACAUUUUUUCACUUUCUUUGGCCAUUCUAAGGGAUUCUUGGAGCAUCAUUCACCUCUUGAUCAUGGCGCACUUGAUGCCUUGAUUUUUUGGAGGUUUAAAAUGCAUGGGCUAGGAUUUUUGAAGAUCAAGAUUAUUGUCACCUAAACACGUGGUUUUCUUUUCUAUUUCUGCCAUCUUAAAAUACUUUUAUGCUUGUAUUUAUUGAUCUUAGUUUGGGGUUUGAAUUUCUUUUUAUCAUGACCAUCUAAGCUUAUAUUAUGAGGGAUGUUGUGACUUGAAUAUUAUGAAUUUUUCUAAUGUGUUGUGUAUAUUUGUCUUAUUGUACUUAAUUUUGAAUUUGGGAAUUGACUUUAAAGUGUUAAUUAAUAGACUAAUUAGUAACCAUCCAUAGAGACGUUCCCUAAUGUUCCAUUCAAUUAAUUAUAUUUUUAGUAGUUUUUAACCGGUGAAGUUCAAAUAAUUAAGACGAAAAAAAUAGCAAAAGAAAUAUAUUAAAUGGCCACAAACAUAGGGACCGUGCUUUGGACACAAUGGGCUCGCAUAUGGGAUUUAGAUGGGGUUGCUAGAUGCAUCCAUUCUUAUUUUUCCAAUUUUACUCUUCAUUCUCGCAGAAGAUGUUCUUCUGUUAAAUUGAACAUGUAAUUUUUAGGUUGUUAACACAACGUUCUAAUCAAUUAAGUUAAUAAGUCAAUUAUAUUAUAAAAUAGAUAAUGUUAUUAUACGUAACAAAAAAUAUUUGUUAUUAGAAAAUUUAAUAUAUAUUAAACUUUGUAAUGGUAAAUAUUUUUUAUUUUAAAAAAAAUAUAUAAACUAAAUAAUUCGUAUGAUUUAUAUCAAAGUUAAUCGUAAUAAAAUUUAUUAUUUAAAUUUACUUGCGUAUUAAAUAUAUAUUAUAAAUUUUAGUGUUAUGUAUAACAACAUUAUUUAUUUUAUAACAUAAUUGAUUCAUUAACUCAGUUGGUUAAAACGUUGUGCUAAUAACCUGAAAGUCAACGGAAGAAUUUCUUCGGUAAGAGUUACGAGUAAAGGGCAGAGCAAAAUUAGAAAAAUAGAAAAAUACUGGAUGCACCAGAAAUACUUAUGGUGCACCUAGCAACACCCUUUUAGAAGGUAGCUUAUGAUAUUGUAUAACAUUUUGAGCAAAUGCCUCUUGUGCCUUGAGUCAUAUUUUUUUUUCUUCAUCCUUCUGUUUAUUAGAAAAAAAAUAGAUUUUAACUAAUAUAGAAUUUGGCUAAGAAGUAAACAAAUUUUUGUUAAAAAUUAUUUUUCUUUCACGAUCGAACUCAAAUGAUUUAAUUUUAUUUUCAACACAUUAAUCAUUUUAUUUUAUGUUGAAUAAUUUGAUUUCAAGUCAUAUGUUCUUAUCAAUUCUUAUCAAUGAAGUUUUCUCAUAUGUUAAAAAAAAGCCCCGAAAAUAAAGAAGGCCAAAAAAAAGAAAGGGCCUUAAUAAAUGGAGAUAGAAAAAAAUAGUGAGUUCAUACAAGCAAGCCUUCGGUGAAUGCCACUAUAUCAAUCCAGAAAAGUACGAUUGCUCGAAAGGAUAAAUAUAUUUAGAUGUCGAAAAUACUAUUAUACACCUAUUAAAAAAGAGUGAAUUUUAUAGGUAUAUUAAAUAUAUGAUGUGAUAUGAGAAGAAGAAGAAGAAAAAAAAAUUUUAAAAAACUAUUUAAAAUAAUGGAGUAUUCAAAAGCAACAUAUUUAGUACUGGAUCCUUUUUCUCUUUGAAGAGAAUGAGCUUGAGAUUCACUUAUGAUCCUUGUGUUUAAAUUUAAUCCGUUAGUCACGUUUGAAUCAAUAACUGUUGUAACAAUAUUUUAUGUCAAACCAAAAAAAUUACUAGCCGAGUCACGGACAAUGUCGUUUUCUUUAAGACGUUUCGUGGCACUGCCAAAAAAAUGUGCAAGCAGACUAUCAACCACGACGUCUCCAGGAUAAAACAGUCCAGAUCACUGUAUAAGAUUCCCACUGCACUGAGGGAACCUUUUCUAGAAUUACACUCUCUUGUAUGACUUGAAAAGUCACUCCAAAGCCACCCGAAAAUAUGACUUGAAAAGUCACUCUAACAGCCAACCGAAAAUAUGACUUGAAAAGUCACUCUAAUAGUCAACCGAAAAAUAUGACUUGAAAAGCCAUUAUUAUAGCCAACUGAAAAUAUGACUUAAAAAGUCACUCUUAUAGCCAACCGAAAAAUAUGACUUAAAAAGUCACUCUUAAAGCCAACCAAAAUUUUAGAGCGACAGAAAGAAAGAAGGAGAAGUUUGCCGGAAAUGUAUCGGCUGAAAUAUGGGAGGGAGAAAGAAAAGUUGAGGAAAUGCUUCUCAACUGGGGCAAGGAAAAAAGAAGAAAUGAGCUCUCUAUAUAUAGGAAGUGAAACACUAUUCAAGUGUUUAUCCUAAGCGAUGUGAGACUUGAAGCCUUUUCUUUCUUUUUUUUUUUUUUCAAACUUUCAUCCACAUUCUCCUUUGUUCUAACAAUCCCUCACUUGAAAUUUGAAAAGAGGAUUUUCGAGGAUUUCAUAAAAUUGUGCAUAAACAAAGGUGUCAUACAACUUGAACCUUUGCAUAGUGAGUAAGAUUCAGAUUUUACUAGAGUGACUCAAAGUCUUGAACUCUAUCUCCGACAUCAAACCACACAUAACCUUUUCAUAUGUGUAUUCUAUAAAGCCCGUGCGUUAAAUGUCAUGCACGUCUAUCCCGGUAUAGUAAACGCUCUAGAAAUUUUUGUCCAAAAUUUCAUAUGAAGCGGCCCCAACUUCAACAUUCACAUAGGUGAGUCUAUCAAGAGUACUCCUGUAGCCUAGGUGCUCCACUCAACGUAGAGUAUAGAUCUCAUUAAGAAUUAUGAAUUUUUUUUUUCAUAACUCAUCCUCUUGUUACUUCAGGAAUCAUGCUGCUUUCACUUAUAACAACAUAUUCAUCUCAUAUCACUUCAUAACUUGUUAUUACCCAUUGAACCUAGUCUUGGGAUCUCCAGUCAUUUAGGUCGGGUUACCAUCAUGAAUGAUCAUCAUAGUAAGGGCAAUAGUCCCAUUGUUUUAGAAGUGUUAUGGACUUUCUCUUUAGCUAAUCCUUUCGUCAAAGGAUCUGCUAAAUUAUCAUCAGUGCGUACGUGAUCCACUCUAACAACUCCUGUUGAGAGUAAUUCUCUAACAGUGUUGUGCUUACGACGUAUCUGUUGUUUCUUACCAUUGUAAUAAUGGUUCUCAAUUUUUUUGCAAUAGCCGCGGUACUAUCGCAAUGGAUCAACACAACUGGUAUCGGUCUUUCCCAUAACAGAAUCUCUGCAAGUAAGCUUCUCAGCCAACUUGCUUCCUCACUAGCAGUUGCUAGUGCUAUCAUCUCAGAUUUCAUAAUGGACUGAGCUAAGAUAGUCUGUUUCUUUGACUUCCAAGAAACAACCCCACCAGCUAUGCUAGAUAUAUAGCCGCUGGUUGCUUUGGAAUCAUUUGAAAGAGUGUUCCAAUCUGCAUCACUGUACCCUUCAAGUAUAGCGGGAAACCUUUUAUAAUGUAAUCCAAGGUUUAUGGUUCUUUUAAGGUACCUCAUUACCAUUUCAAUAGCGUGCCAAUGCUCCAUACUAGGUCUACUGGUAAACCUGCAUAAUAAUCCCACAACAUAGGCUAUGUCGGGUCUAGUACAAUCAAUGGCAUACCUAAGGCUGCCAAUGAUACUCGCGUACUCAGUUUGUCGUAUACCUUCACCAGUGUUCUUAAACAGUUUUACACUUGGAUCAUAUGGUGUACUAGCAGGUUUACAAUUAAAGUAGUCAUAUUUCUUUAAGAUCUUCUCAAUGUAGUGAGAUUGAUCCAGAGAAAUUCCCUCUUUUGACCUAGUAAUCUUAAUACCAAGGAUUACACUUGCUUCUCCGAGGUCUUUCAUAUCAAAGUUGUUACACAACAAUGAUUUCACAUCUAAUAGGUUUGCAGCUAGGAGGCCCCUCUACUAAAUGUUAGGUCUUGUUAGAUUCUAAAGAAUCCAUCUCAUUAUUAAUGGCUUCUUGCCACAAGUCAGCAUCCAAAGAAGACAAGGCUUCUUAGAGGUUUGAUGGAUCCUCCUCUAAUGUAUAGGUCAUAUAAUCGGGCCCAUACUCUUUAGCAAUUCUUGCUCUCUUACCUCUUCGAGGCUCUAUAUCUGGUUCUGGUUGUGCAAGAUUUUCACUACUAAUAGCAGGAAGAUAACUAGAUGAAAUACCCCCACUAUUCCUUAAUUUAAAAGAAAAUCAGAAACCAGAUUCUUUCUCAUCCCUGAAGUAUGCAUCACAUCUUUGAGAAUCAAAGUCUUUCUAGAGGUAAACUUCAGUUCAACAUCUCCAGUUCCAGCAACAAUAGUGGUGUGGGAAUCACCCAGCAACACUUUCUUAUUUUCACCAUUCAUGUAUGUUUUAAUCAUAGCACGAUCAUAGCAGACAUGGCGGGAGGCGCCAAUGUCUACCCACCAUCCAUCUGAUCCUCCAAUCAUAUUGAUUUCUAUUAUCACAGCUAUGUAUGGCUCUUAAGUCAUGUUAGCCUAGGGAGCACCUGUCAUUGAAGGAUUUCUGCAUUUACGUGCCAUAUGUCCCGGUUUGCCACAAUUGUAGCAGAGUAAUGGCUCACCAGGAUUAUUCUUGGCAGGUGGAUGCUGUCUAGCAUGUUGGACCCUUGGGGGGUUCUUGUUGCGGUUGGAGGUAUUGCUCACAUUGCGGUUCUGAUUCUUAAAGUUUUUGCCAAUAGGCUUCAGAAUUGCACAUGUGUUCUUCCUUUUAGUGUUGUUGUGAGACACAACCAACACUUCAUCUUUCUGAUCUUGUCUGCGUGCCUCUUCCUCAAUGCGCAGACGUGUGAUCAGAGACUCCAAAGAGAAUUCUUUGGUCUUGUGUGUGAGAAGGUUUUUGAAAUCCUUCCAGCCAGGAGGCAAUUUGUCUAUGAUAACAGCAACCUGAAAUUGCUCAUCCAAUGUCAUACCCUCUAAUAUGAUAUCAUGAGCAACUUUCUAUAUCUCAUGGGAUUGAGACUCUACUAAUUUAUCAUCAAUCAUUUGAUACUUGAGAUAGCGACUAACAACAUACUUUUUAGUCUCAGCUUCCUCAGUAUCAUACUUCUUUUUCAAAGCCAGCCAAACUAAUUUGACAGACUUAUAUGGGCUAUAAUAAUCAUAAAGAUCAUCAACUAACCCAUUCAGAAUGAAAUUCUUGCAUAGGUAAUCAUUUUCAUUACAGAGAGCUAAUUCCAUAGUCAUUUUAUCCUUCACUUCCUUCUCAACAUCUUUAGGCAUCACUGGAAUAUUAAUGUUCAAAACAUAGGCAACUUUUUUUCAUAGAAAACAUCAUCUUUUGUUUCCAACGUUUGAAAUGAUACCCUUCAAACCUAAAAGGUUUGUUGAGGUCAUUGUUGUUCGAGCCAGUAAUAUCUACGGUAUCCAUAGCAGAACCAAAAUCGUCUUAAAAUUGUUGUAACAAUAGUUUAUGGCAAACCGAAAAAAUUACUGGCUGAGUCACGAACAAUGUCACUUUCUUUAAGACGUUUCGUGACACUGCCAAAAAAUUGUGCAAGCAGCAGACUAUCAACCACGACAUCCCCAGGAUAAAACAGCCAAGAUCACAGUAUAAGAUUUCCACUGCACUGAGGGAACCUUUUCUAGAAUUACACCCUCUUGUAUGACUUGAAAAGUCACUCUAAAGCCACCCGAAAAAAUGACUUGAAAAGUCAUUAUAACAGCCAACCGAAAAUAUGACUUGAAAAGUCACUCUAAUAGCCAAUCGAAAAAUAUGACUUGAAAAGUCACUAUUAUAGCCAACCGAAAAAUAUGGUUUAAAAAGUCACUCUUAAAGCCAACCAAAAUUUUAGAGAGACAAAAUGAAAGAGGGAGAAGUUUGCUGGAAAUGCAUCGGCUGAAAUAUGGGAGGGAGAAAGAAAAGUUGAGGAAAUGCUUCUCAAUUGGGGCAAGGAAAAAAGAAGAAAGGAGCUUUCUAUAUAUAGGAAGUGAAACGCUAUUCAAGUGUUUAUCCUGAGCGAUGUGGGACUUGAAACCUUUUUUUUUCUCUUUUUUUUUCAAACUUUCAUCCACAUUCUCCUUUGUUCUAACAAUAACUUAUAUAUUAGUUCGAAUAAAAUUAGACUCGGUUUCUAUAUUUAUUUUUUCAUGUGUAUUUUUUUUAUUUAUUAAAAAGUUCUAGCAUAGGUUCCAAAUAUAUUAAUUUUAUGACUUACUCAAAAUAGUUUUAAAUUUAAAAAAUAACUAUUUGUUUUUAAUAAAAAUGUAUAAAAAAUUAGGGGUGGCAUAAGAGAAAGUUCUAGCAUAGUAAAAAAAAUAAUUAAAAAAUGGUUUUCUCAUGAUGCAUAAGAAAAUGUCCCUUAUGCAUUUUCUUAUGAUCGAUUGAUUAGUUGGUGCAAACAAAAAUGAGAAAAAAUGCUCCACAAAAUAAUUCAAGCAUGUAUUUUUUAAAAAUUUCUUAAAAGUUCUAGCAUAGUUCCAUAUAUAUUAAUUUUAAUUAUGACUAAAAUAGUUUAAAUAUAAAAAACUGUUUAUCUUUUAGAAAUAUCUUUAAAAUAAUUAAACAAAUAAUAAUUUAAGUGAAUAAAACAAAAACAAAAGUUAUAAAAAAUAAUUUUAAAAGAUUUUUGUGGAUAAAUGAGACGGGGUAUUUUGAAAUAAUUAAAAAAUAUUUAUUUUUUAAAAUACUGUAAUGGAUUAAUUGGAUAUUCGUCCAUAAAAAUGAUAAUUAAUGCAUUUAUUAAAUUGAUCAUGAACACAUUAACUUUGUUUUAUGAAUUCUGAAUGGAUAUUGAUAAAUGAAAUUGUGGUAUUUUUGCUAAUGAUAAUAUUUUUGCUCAUCAUUAUAUGUAGUUCAUCUCUCUUCUAAGAAGGUAAAAAGCUAUGCUUUGUUUGACAUGUUGUGGUAUGGUCUACUUUGAUUAUGCAUAACAAAAUUGUGUUUCAAGGCGUUUUCUUUUGACUUUAAUGGUGUUUUGGACUUGAUAAAAAAAGUUGUUUUGUAGACAUGGUAUGAGACUAAGAUGAGCAAUACUCUCCGUUCUUUUUUAAUUAGUGUAUUGAUAAUGUAAUUUAUCUUUAUUUGUUCCUUUGGUCUUGCAUUAAUUGUAAUACAUAUGUAUAAGGAUUGGAAUACCCAUUGUACUCUUUUUCUUAAAAUAAAUAAAUAAAACUUUGCUUUUAAAAUAAAUGUUAGUCGCACUCUCUUUUUAAUAUUUUCUCUCAUACCAUUAGCUGAAAAAAUUAACAAUUUUGGUGAGAUUUUGUUUCUUUUAAUGAGGUCUCUCUAUCUAUCUAUAUCGAUUUAGAAAUGAAAUCCAUCCAAAUUGAUGACAUUUUAUAAAUUUCAAGCAAUGAUAAUAGAGUAUUAGAAAAAGAGUGUCAAUUUUUUUUGCUAAUAUUCCUUAAAAAAAUAAGAUCGUAUGAGUUUUUUAGGUAGAAGCACUUUGGACAUUUAUUACCAAUCCAACUUUAAUUGUUUUUUUAUUUAUUAUUCAUUACGGUGUAUUUGGAUCAACUGAAAAAAUUAGGUUAUUUUAAUAUUUGAUUAUAUUAAUAACAAUUAUUGGUAUAAUACAUUAUAAUCGAAUAAGUUUUUGUUUGAGUUUGUUUCUUGAAAACUUAUAUAUUUUAAGAUAAUUAUUUUUGUAUGGAUGAAAAAAAUAAUUAUCUUUUAAGUAAGAAAAAAAAACUUUAAUUUUACAAAAUUGAGUUGUUGUUCAAAUUAUAUAAGAUUAACACAUUAUAAGAAAACUAAAGUUUUUAAUAUACCGAAUCGUCAUUCAAAUAGUCUUUUCUAUCCAUGUGGAGAGUUAUAAAAAUCCUAUUAAGAAAUAAAAAAGCUCCCGAUUGAAAAAGAAUAAUGAAAUCACUUAUAUCCAUGUAAAUCUUGUCUCCUAUCUCUAAAAAUAUGAAGAAUUUUUUUAAUUAUUAUUCAAAAAAAUUUCUUCUAUUAUUUUCUCUUGUAUUAUUCACUAAAAAGACUAUAAUAAUAACGGAAUUACGGUUAGAGAGUAGAAAAAAAAGGAUUCAAGGCUAACACCACCAAGGAAAAAAAAUAAUCCUUUCUAUUAGAACAUCUAAAAAGUUUUUUAUAUGAUUUUUAAUAAAAUCGAAAAAUAUUAAACAUAAACAACACAUCAGGAAACAUCCUCAAAAAUUUUGAGUAAAUGAAUGUUACUAACAAGUAGAAAUAAUAAGAUUUCUUUUUUAUCCCAUUUAUCUAAUUCAUUAUGUAUAAAAAAGCGAUCAAUAACUUGCAUACUUAUACUCUUUCAUAUUUCUAUUUGAAAAAUUUUCUUAAUAUUAACAUUCUGGAACAAAUCUUAAGAAAAAUGCUUAGAUUAGAUAUCAUUUACGAAUUGAGAUACAUUAUGUUGUUUAAACAAUUAUUAUGGAUUAAAAUAUUUCUAAAAUUUUUCAUCAUAAUUUGACAUAAUGUAUUUAUGAUGAUUAUAUUAGUAUUUUAUAUGAAAUUUCCUAAAAUUACCAACCAUUUAUGUUCACAAUUGAGCCACAAUUAAAGACCAAUAAAAUUUACUAGAACAAAUAACGUAUUUGUUAGAUUUUAAACUACAUAUUGGGUCCAUAUAUUUCUAAGCACAAACAAACUAGUACAAAUCCAAGUUGAAUUGCAUCAAGAUUUCUAAAAGGCUAUUAGACAAUGAAUAUAAUCAUUAUUGGCCUUGGCGCUUAUAAUUAUACAAUAAAUAUGAACUUAGCAGACAAUGAAUAUAAUCAUUAUUGGUCUUCUUAAAGUUGCAGUCUACAACUGAAAUCAGCAUACAUGUAAAAUGAAAAUUAUUUUUAACUUCAUUAAAAGAUGAGGAAACCAGAAAUUCACCUGGUAGAAGAAACUACUAAUGUAUAGAAGCAGAACAAAUCUGCAAAAAUGAAACGAAAGCUUGAGUAUGUUGCUGCAUAUACCAUCAAGAAUGAACAGUUAACAUGGCCUAGUGUCAUGAAUAAACACUUAAUCACCCAAAGAACCUAGAAGGAGAACAUAUGAGAUGGAAAUUAAGUCAUUUACCUUUCAACAACCAAGGUCAUGCCAUAAGUUGCUAUCUCAGGUAAUUUCCCGAAGCUAUCAUUAGUUCAUUACCAAACUAUUAAUUUCAUUGACAUAUGUCUUGCUACCAGAUUUCAUGUAACAAAGAUUUUAAAAGCCUUAUAAAAAGCCAAGAUUGCAUGUGAAUCAAAUCGUAAAAAGGGUACAAUUCAAUAGUUUUGCAAAAAUAUAAUUGUAAUAGCUACAACAUCACAAUACUUCAAUUUCAAACAUGAAAUUAAACAUAUGACUUAAAACAACACUAAAAUUCUUUAUUAUAAUAUGUGGAGCCUCAAAAAAAUAAUUAAAAAGAAAUUACUUCUAUAUAUUGCUAGGAAACAGAAUCAUGAUUCCUCUAAAUCCAAGCUUUCAAACCAUUUUAUAUCCUAUUUAAGUCAAAUCGUUAAAACGUAUCUUUGUAUCCAUUUUAUGAAAGUGAAAAUCAUCUUUAAAAUAUUAAUGCUUUAGGCUAAGACAAAUCAUCCCCAUUUUCAUUGCAUCGGUUGGAAAUCAUUGUAGCACCCGGCCAUAUCAAAUAAAUUAGUAUGUAAAGCACUAUUUCUUCCUACUUAGUCUAACCAAAAUUAAUUAAAAUUAAUAGGAGAUUUGUUUUAAUUAGAGUUAGAGUCCUACAUUACAAAUUGAGAUUAUUUGAUUCAUUAAUAAAUUUUAAGAGCCAAACAUUUCACAAAAUUAAUCUUCUGUGUUUAACCCAUGAUAACCGAUAAAUAUGGAUUAUUUUUUAUAAUAAAAAUAUAUUAAAAAUAUCUUUAAAAUUAUUUAUUUAAUAAUUAUUUUUAGCUUAAAUAUUAUAAAUUGAUAUUUUUUCUAUUUAUAACUUACAUGUAUGAAAAAGAAGAAUUAAAAAAGAAAAAAAGAUUAAAAAAUAUAAAAAAUAUAAAUAAGAAAAAUGUUGACAUUAAACCCAAGUCUAAGGAAAACAAUCACGUUAACAUUCCUAAGAUUGAGAACUCUCUCAACCUAUUUUUUUUUGUUAUUUUAAAUUUAAUUUCUUAUCUCUUGUCUGUCAAUUAAAUUUAUAUUAAUUUAAGUAUAAAUAAAAUUAAUACUUAAAUUUUUUAAUAUUUUACUAUUUAAGAUAAUUUGAUGCAUUUAUGAAUGAGUUACCAACCCACUCAUACACUACAAUUAUUCCCUUGAAAUUCAGCUAUUAACAAUGAAGAAUUGGCCCUAUAUAGUAGCAGAAGUGGAUAUAUACCGAUAGGGGAGGAUAGCAAAAGCCAUUCAAAAACAAAGAAAAACAUAAUAUGUAGCUUUAUCCAUGUAUUAGGAUCAUAUUCGUGUAGCAUUAAAAGAACAAAGUUUUUUCAGUGACAAACUCCUAAAAGCAUCAUGUCAAAGCCGUAGAAUCAACGAGCAUCCCAUAAAUAAAAAUAAAUAAAAUCACCAUAUUCAUGCACAAUUACACGUAGAAAUUAAUAAAAUCUUGUCCCCCGACAUCCGUACAACAAGAUAACGAAGAAAAAUCUGGUUGAAGUCUACCAUAAACCCAAGGCCUUCAAUCCAAAACAUAUUGCAUUAAAUCAGGAGUUUCAACUUUCAAGCUAUUAAUCCAAUUAAGAUUUUAUAUCCUUUUUUUUAAUAUUCAACUUGAGCUAUCUGUCUCCAUUAUUAAAUCUUUAAAGUUCUGAAAAUGAAAAUUCAUCAUCCCUAUAGAACACAAAAUAAUACAGAUAGACAAGUGCAAGUUAUUACACAAAGUUGAUAUUCAAACUAUACAAUAAAAAGAGGAUCGAAUGACAAUAAUGAGAGUGAUUAAAAAAAUAUACAAAUUCAAGGUCAUGACAACUCUGAUUCUGUGAAAAGGGAAGUCCAAAUGAAUGAAGAAUAAAAGACACUCAUUACCUAGUGUUUAGUUAACUUUCUGCUAGAAAUACUCUUACUUCGAGCCACAUCAGGUGCCAACUAAUUCUAUUUCUGCUCUGAGAAACUACCAUAAAAAUUUGUUUGGGAAUCCACAACCCUACCACCUUUUUCUGCAAACCCCUAAUUGAAAAGAGAGUAUAAUAAACACAAAAAGCUUGUGGGGAAAAUUAAAAGAGAGGGAGAGGGAGAGGGAGAGAGCACGAGAGAAAAAUUAAAAGUAAAAUAAUAUUUUUAGGAUAGUUGUAAAUAUUGUAUCAUGUACCAUAGAAAUGAUUAUAAAUGUAUCUAGAUUCAUGUACUUGUCCCUAUAAAAGACUAAUAUUUUUAACAGAAAAUAAAAAAAAAGAGUUAAAAUGAAACCAUAAAAAUUUAAAAUAAAACUUUUAAAAUUUGAUAUACUAAAUCAGAAAAGAAAAAUACUAAAAUAUAAACGAUGAAAAUAUUUUUUUUUAAAACUUAAUAUUCCUAAAAAUAAAAUAAAAAAAUACAAAGAACCAAAAGUAAUAUAUAUCUGGAGGCCUAAAUGCCAAAAACAAUCACACAACUAAAACGAAAAGGCAUCAUCUGGAUGGGGCAACGCAUUCAACAACUAAUGAUACUCCAAAUUAAAUGAGUAAAUUUAUAAAUGUACAAUCCAUUUUUGUGUGGAUUGGACAAGGCAAUUAAGAGAGAUGUGAUAUCAUAGCAAAUAUAGAUAUUAAAAAAUAUAAGAUGAAAGAGAAUGAGUUUUAAGUAGGAUGUAUGUUUAUAAUGAUAACUCCUAAUACUAUUCUUCCUAAGCUCAUAAAUCCAUAACAUCCAAGUUUGUGUGAAACAUAAGACUUAGACUUGGUGUAUAUUUGAAUUAAAGUUGACGAUUUUAAUAUUAUAGUAGUUUUAUUGUAUAAGUUCAAGAAGGACUUUGGUCUUGCUUUUUUGUAAAUUUGAUUUCGAAUAUAAGUGUGUAAACAUACUCUUAAAGAUAACUAAACAUACUCUUAAAGAUAACUAAAUAUAUCAUAUGAAAUAAAAAUGAGUUUAUGCUCCAAACCAAGUUUAAAACACCAAAAUAAAAUCCAAACAUGUUGAUAUCGAUGUUAUUAAUAGUCUAAUGCAAAAGAAGCAAAUCGUAGACAGAAAAUGAUAACUAAAAGCAUUCACCAAAGCCCACCAUGGCAAAAGUUGUGAUUAGUAUAUAAUGUUGGAGCAUGUUGUGCUUAUUAGAAAUCGAAAGCUCCACCUUUGGUUUCUUUGAUGACAAUAUAUAAGAGUGCCGUUGAGGUAGGUGACGUUGUAGUAGAAAUUCAUGUCGGGGACAACACAUCGUGGUAGCACCUACUGAUGGGGUGACAACACAUCUUUAGCAGGACAAUUAAAGAAUAGUCGAUGAAGAACAAUUGAAUAAAAAGCAAAAAAGAAUCACCAAUUCGAAACAAAUAGUAUAGCACUGCACUACUAACUCACCCCAUCAACCGCAAGUGGCAAAUGACUCCAAACCCAAAACAAUGAAGAAAAUAACCAUUAGUUAAAAUUCGUGAAAUGGGAAUAUCUGAGUAUAAAAUUACAACUAAUCUGAAGGAAUCUGCUAAACAACCUAAUCUUCUAUCAUUUUCAUUUGAUAUUUAAAUUAUUGACUGCUGAAACAAAACUCAUAAAAGAUAAAAUCUGCAACAAUAAUAAUAGAACUCUAUCUAAAACUUAUUCAAAAUUCAAAUAAGGCAGGUCUCAUAUCUUUAGCUAGACAAGAAGAUAUACUAUGAGGGCACUACUGACCCCGACCCUAUCACGUGCAUGCAUAUGAACUAUUAUCUACAAGUUGUCCCCACUGCCCAAGAACGAGAGCNNNNNNNNNNNNNNNNNNNNNNNNNNNNNNNNNNNNNNNNNNNNNNNNNNNNNNNNNNNNNNNNNNNNNNNNNNNNNNNNNNNNNNNNNNNNNNNNNNNNUGCCAAAUGGCUCCAGCCCCAAACCACAGCGAGCAACACAAAACCAGUCCCCCAUGCCACUAGCUGUAUAUAUGCAGAUUACAAAAAGAGACGUGCACCACAUACAGAACAAAUUGAUGAAAAGUAUAAUAUAGUAUAUUUAUGAAUCACGAUUAAAAUAAAUUUCUAACAAUUACUUGAUUUUAAAAGCUUUUAUAGUUUUAAUUUCCAAAGGUUAUUAGUUUUAUUAAUAGUUUUUUAUACUUGUAUUAUAUUACAAAUAUAAUAAUGACUAAAUUAAGCUUAAUAUAUAUACCUCCUGAAUAUAUUUUGUAAAAAUACACAAACUUUCUCUAUUUUUUUAUUAUAAAAAAAUAAGGUUGCCAAGCCAUUGUUCAAAUCAAAGGGCGAUCCAAUAGUAGGUGAGAACUAAAAUAAAUUUUUAUUUUUUUUAUUUUAAAUGAAGAAUAAUAUAUCGUAUUUUUUAAAUAAAUAUGGUCUUUUUAUUUUAUAAUAGCUAAUGAAAAAUUUAUAGAACUAAAAUUUAAAUUUUACUUGUUUUAUUGUUGUUUUCACUCUCAUUCAAAGGAGUAAAAGAAUGAACUUGUCCCCGAUCCGAUAACCACACCCCACGCAGCGUAGUAAAUUUUCUUCAUCAAAAUUAUCUAUGUAAAACUCCAGCAGCAACUGGAAAAAGAUUUCGAUUUCUUUAGUUUCAGUACACCAAAGCACUCUCCAUGCGUGAAGUGAAACUAGAUGGUAUAUUCUGAAAGUGAUCCCGUGGAGAAUUUGGAAGAACAGAGAGGGUAUUCAGACAAAUUAUAGAAGCCACCGAUGAAUCAAUGAGUAGAAUAUGCUUCUUCUUUGAAGAUUAACUAUCCCCACCACGCCUGAAGGACUUAAAAGCUUCUAAAAUAAAUUUAAGAAUGAAAUUUUUUAUUUAUUUAUAAAACUUAGUGUUCUUAUUUAUCAUUUAAAAAUGACACAUUUUAUUUUAUAAUAAUUUUCUUAAAGUAUAUUAGUACUAAAAAAUAUUUUAAUUUUUUUUUUUUAAAACCUAAAGCCUUUCCUUGAGCUCCUUAGACCUUAAGCCGGUCCUUAUUAUCCCUGGGUGGGCAACUUGUUAAUGAUGAAUUGAAGACCCUUCAAACCUGUGUGCUACCUUAAGUAGGAGUGGAAUAUCAAUUGUUUCCACACUAGGGACAAAACUUCAUCAAACUCAUGAACUACUCAAUCCCUUCCAGCGUGGAAUUUGCAACAACGACCCUCAGUCAUCUUCCUCUAUAUAUUACUACUCAGCUCUUAUACAUAGACCCACACAGUUAUACAACUCUAGAGAAUCAAGAAAAUUAUUUUAUAUAAAAAUAAUAUAUAUAUAUAUAUAUAUAACAUAUAAAUUAAAUAUUUUAACAAUAUAAUAAAGCAAAAUAGUAAAUUAAUAAUAACGUCAUUUCAUCAUUAGUUCAUCCAUAUUCACCAUAAAAUAGGAUAUAAUUUUUGUAUAGGAACGUAACAGGAUAUGAUUUUUGUAUAAAAACAUAGGAUAUGAUAAGAUAUAAUUUUUAUUUGUUUUAGAAUACAGUAACGUAAUAAAUGAAAAAAAGAAACCUAAUAGGAAUAGUAAAAUGAAUUGUUAACAGAAAUAGGAAAACUAAUAAAAAUAAUGAGAAAUAUAAAGAAACUCACACCUUUAAUUAAAAAUUUAUUUAAUUAUAAGAAUGAAAUCGGCUAAUUUUUUUAAAAAAUAAUAUUAAUUAUAUCCAAAAAAUAAUAUAUAUAUAUAUAUAUAUAUAUAUAUAUAGGUCGGUCUAUCAGGCUUAUAAGACUUUUUAAUAAGUCUAAGUCUGACCUAUUUAAUUUAAUAGGCUUUUGUAAAAGCCUAAACCUAGCCUUUUAAUUAAAUAGGUCAGGUCAGGUCAAACUUUAUAUAGACCCUGUCGUAGAUCCAUGUAAGUCGGCAUAACCUAUCCUCACCCUGUCACGCCACUGCUGACCCCGACCCUAUCAGAUGCAUGAACUUUUAUGGACAAGUUGUCCCCACUCCCCAAGAACAAGAGCAAGUGCCAAAUGACUCCAAACCCAAAACCGCAGCCAGCAACACAAAACCAGUCCCCCAUGCAAUAGCUGUAUAUAUGCAGAUUACAAAAUUAAAAGAGACACCACAGAACAAAUGAAUGAAAAGUAUAAUAGUAUAUUUAUGAACGAAGAUGAAAAUAAAUUUCUAACAAUUAAUUAAUUUUAAAAGCUUUCAUAGUUUUGAUUUACAAAUGCUAUUAGUUUUAUUAAUAGUAUAUAGAUACUUGUAUUAUAUUACAAAUAUAAUAAUGAAAAAAUUAAGGUUAAUAUACCUCCUAGAAUAUAUUUUGUAAACCUAAAACAAAUUUAAGAUUUUCUUUUUUAAACCUAAAGCCUGUACUUACUUGUACUGCUGGAAACUUGAGCCCGCACUUGUUAUCCCUAAUGGGCAACCUUGAAACUUGAGCCCGUACUUAUUAUUCCUAGUGGGCAACUUGUUAAUGAUGAAUUGAAGACCCUUCAAACCGUGUGUGCUACCUUAGGUAGGCGUGGAAUAUCAAUUGUUUUCAAAUUAGGAAUAAAACUUCAUCAAACUCAUGAACUUACUCAGUCCCUUCCAGCGUGGAAUUCGCAACAACGACCCUCAGUCAUCAUCCUCUAUAUAUUACUCCUCAGCUCUUAUAUUUAGACGCACACAGUUAUACAGCUCUAGAGAAUUAUCAUACCCUUCAAGAUGAAACCGUACCUACGUCCAAUAUUCCUAUUAUUCCUUAUCCUUCUCGACCAAUCCAUUUCGGCGAGUGCUGCUAUAAAUAUUAAUGGUCUGAGAAACAAAAUUAGAGAAGUUCUAAACAAGCACCCGAGCAUCAAUCUUCCGGCAGAUAAACUGAAGAAGGUGAAGAGACCACUGAAGGCACUGGAUUAUCUGCUUGGCGAAUGUAAGGACAGGCCGCCUCAAGAAUUUCAAGAAUUUUGCCCGAAAUUUAAGAACGAUUAUCAACAAAAUUGCCCGAAUGCCGCGUAUGAAGCAGUUUGCCCGUUACUGAAGCAAGCGAUUCAAAUAUGUUGCCAGAAACACGCAUAACUCUGCAAGCCACGGUGGGCGUUUGGAUGUGCUUUUAGUUACCACUUUCUCUCUUGGAUUUGCUUACGUAUUGCUCCUUUUGUAUUAGUGGCUCCUGUCCCACCUUGCUUUUGGACUUGAGCUUUUUAUAUUUCUGAUUGUUCAAUGUCUGUUGUGUGUGCUCUCCAACCUGUGGUGACUUUCCGGUUUAUUCCUGUGGCUGUUUCUUGUAGGCCUUUCGACCUCCAGUAUUAAAUAAAAGAUCAUCUUGUAGCUUUUUAAUUUUAAUUAUUUUUUAUUUAUAUCUCUUCUAAUAUUAAUAAUAAAUAAUAAAAUAUAUAAAUAAAUAAAUGAUUAUAUACAAUUAAUCUUUUAGGAUGAUUAUUAUUUUAAGAUAGAAAAAAAUAAUAUAUAUUUAUAUAUUGUUAUGAGAGGUCUUUAGUUAUAUGCAUAAUGCACCCUUGGCAACUUGGGAGUUGGGAUUUCAGUAAUUAUUAUUGUGGUGGGUAAAGCUAUAAACUCGGUUUUGUGUAAGUUCCUUUACUUUCUUGAGGAGUCUAAGGUGGGAAAGAGAAACACCUCUUCCAAUGUAAGAAAGUUUUUUAAAACUGGUAUAUUAGUUUAGUUUCAAUCUAAUGCCUCAAAUUUUUUUUUCUUUUCUCCUUGUAUUUUUUAUUCCUUUUCUUCUUAUCUUUCCUUGUUUGCCCCUUCAAUUCUCUUCUUUCUCUCCCAUCUUCUUUCUCUCUCCUUCUAUCCGCCACCAUAGUGCACCGUCACUUGUAGUUGCUUUGGUGGUACUCUACCACAGAAGAAGCAAGUGGAGCCUUGUUUCCAUUACUUUACGGAAAUUCACUUAAUCACAUUCAAUUGGUUCAUUGAGGAAUGAUUGCGGCGUUGUGUUUUUUCUUUCGUGUUUCUGUGUGAGUCAUUUGAGCGGUGCUGCGAAAGAAGAAAAAACUCCGGCGGGUGCCCACUGGUUGUCUGCGGUGGAGAGAAGGAGUGUUUUGUGCGGAAGAAAAGAAGUGGGGCAAACAAGGAAAGACAGGAAGAAAGGAAUAAAAGAAAAAGAGAAAAGAAAAAAUAAUUGAACCAUCAGAUCGACGAAAACUAAACCAAGUGUCAAGGGAAACGAAAAGCAUAAUAGCAUGAGUCAAGUUCAAAAAUUAUACAAAGUUUCACAAAGAAGAUCCAUAUAUGUUUCAAAUGCUAGAUUCCUUCGAAUAGAUGGCUAUGGGUGAUAAAUUAUAUAUGAAUUGCAAAAUACAAAAAAUUCGUUGCAACUUGCAAGGGAUGCAUCAGUAACAAUUGUCUAUUUGAUAUAAAUAUUUAAUUUUAUAUUAACGCAAGGUAAGCAUAUUUUUGUUUUAAUAACAUACUAUUUAUAUUUUAUUUAAAAUAUUUAAUCAGCAUGUUUACGGACAACCCGCAUAUAUAAGCCACUUAAUCUGAAAUCACUUUACUCUUACACAAAAAUAAUGAAUCAAAGAGAAAUAGAGAACUAAGGCUAAACCUAAUCAGAAAAAUCUGAUAGUUGCCAAACACAAACCCUUCCUUUUACACUUCUUCAUCUGUGUGUGUUGACUGCUACUUGCUGCUAAUUUAGGAUCUUGGCAGUUGUAUACGAUAUGCAUGCAUGAGGUCUUGCUGCCUUGUGUUUCUUGUACGACUAUUUCAGCGAUACCAACAUGCAUGGUGCAUGGUUGUUGCUAGUUUGUACGUACAAAAUUUAUACAUUAAUUAUGUUAUAAAAUUAAAUUUUAGAUUUUUAGUUAUACGAUAAGUAUUUACGAUUGCCAAUUGUGAGGCAAUCAUUACACACAUUAAAAUAGAGCCUUGUGCUUGUGGAUGGAGGCUUAUGAGGUAAAAAUAUGCCCACGUGGGAUAUCCUAAAUGUUUUACGGCAAAAUCAAGAUCUAGAUGGUGUUUGAUGAUCACAUAAAGGUGCAACUUCACAACAUAUCAUGCUUUACCGGCUUCAUUCAAUUUGGCAAUCAAUUUUGUGCCCAUCUACUCGUUUCAUCACGAAAGAAGACCCCUAUACCUUAUUUUAUUUAUUUGGGUUACCAAAAGGAAUAUUUCUUUGAAAAGACAUGCAACAACAUCACAACAGAGAAGGUUACAUAAAAUAAGAUGAAAUUAAAUAAAAUUUUAUAAUUUUAUUUAUAAAAUAGAUUCAUUUUGUAAAAUAAAUUUGUCCAUAGUUUAAAAAUUUGAAUUAUUUUAUACAUUUCCUUUAAAGUAUCUAUUUCAUUUUGUAAUUCAUGUCAUUAAAGUAUUUGUAUCAAAUUGAUUUGGUAACAUUUUCUUUAAUUAGUUACUCAGUUAAGAUAUUUAUAUUAUUAUUCAAAUUUAUUCAAUAAAUAUUAUAUAUAAUAAUAUAUGUAUAAAUCACAAUUAAAAUAACUUUCUAUCACAUGAAUUAAUUUAAAAAGUUCUCAUGCUUUAAAUUUCAAAUUCUAUUUUUAUAUUUUAAUUAUAUUUAUAUAAAAAAUAAAAUAAUGAGUAAAAUACGUAACAUCCCCUUAAAUUUUGUAAGAGUAUACAUCUUUUUGUAUUUUUUAACAUUUUCACUUUUUUUUAGCAACCUCCUUGAUCUAUAGGUUAACAUAGUGUAAUAUCCAAACAAUUAAAGAGAUUUAGUUUAUGAAUAUGGAGUGUUGGUAAUAUUUUUUUAGUGUAAUGUACUCGGAAAAUUAAUCUUCUACCAGUUGAAUAAAACUAUUUUUUUAUCAUGUAUCUUUUUAAAUUCUAUAUGUGUACAUAAAAUAAGGUUACACAAAUUUAAAUAAAUGACCAAAUUAAAAUACAUAACAAAAUUAAAAAUUUAAACACGUACAUAAAUUUAAUACAAAAUAACUUAAAAUACUACCUAAAAUACUCUACAAAUAAAAAAAUUAAAAAUUAAAUAACUACAUAAAUUUAAAUAAAUGACCAAAUUAAAAUACAUAACACAAAAUUAAAAAUUAAAUACCUACACAAAUUUAAAUAAAUGACCAAAUUAAAAUACAUAAAAAUUUAAAAAUUUGAACACGUACAUAAAUUUAACACAAAAAAACUUAAAAUACUACCUAAAAUACUCUACAAAUAACAAAAUUAAAAAUUAACAUACCAACAUAAAUUUAAAUAAAUGACCAAAUUAAAAUACGUAAUAACAAAAUUAUAAAAUAAAACACGUACAUAAAUUUAACACAACAAAACUUAAUUUACUAACUAAAAUACUCUACAAAUAACAAAAUUAAAUAUUAAAAUACCUACAUAAAUUUAAAUAAAUGACCAUAUUUUUUUCCAAUUAUUAAAAUUUAAAUUAAAUAACAUAUAUUAUACACAAAAAAUGGUAAUAAAUCAAAAAAUUACUAUGGAAUAAAAAAAUUAAGCAAUCUAUAUAUAUAAAAUUAAUAAAGUAUCAUAUAUUUCAAUAAAAACUAUAAAUAAGUAAACUAAAUAAUAUUCACAUUCUAACUAAACCUAAAAUACCAUAUAUAUAAUACAAAAAAUAUCAUACAAACCUAAUAAAUCUAAACCAAAUAAUAAUAACAUAACAACUAAAAUUAACGUACAAAUAAUUUUAUCACAAAUAAUAACAUAAAUUUAAAAAAUCUUAACAAAAUCAUAUUAAUAAAUCAACUACAACUAACGUACAAAUAAUAAUAUACCAACUCAAAUUUAUAACAUAUACAUAUAACACAAAUAAUAUUAAUAUUUCAACAUUACUUAAGAUUUAAAAGUUCCACCUAACAUCAACAAACGUAGCAUAUAUAUAUAUACAAAAUUUUUAAAAAAUAUUAUUAUCAAAUUAACUAAAACUAACCUAACAUAUAUAUAUAUAUAUAACACAACUAAUAACAUACAAUUUUGAAAAACCUAACUUAACUAAUAUUAACAUAUCAACUAAAAUUACCAAGUUAAAAAACACUUACUAACAGAGAAAUCACGUAAUAGGAAGAGGAGAGAAACCACGUAAUAGGAAGAACAAAGCACUGUCCUACAAACAUAAACAAACCUAACGUAAAUAAUUUUCAUAUAUAUAUAUAUAUAUAUAUAUAUAUAUAUAUAUAUAUAUAUAUAACAACAAAUAUUUACCAUUAAAAAAUACUUACCAAGAAGAAAAAGCAGAACAAAAUAAGAACACCACAAUGUACUGCAGGAACUUAUGAAGAAGAGGAAGAAAGCAAUGCAAGGAAGCAGCUGUGGAAUCCGUCAUGGAGCUUCUUCUUUUAUAAUGCAACAUUUUUCAAUUACCACAACUCGCCAGCCACGCUAACGAUUUCCGUCAAAUGCAAAUUGCCAUCCCUAUUGGUGGUUCCCUCCUGCACUGCUGACCACUGAACCCUGCACACCUGCAUGGCCUGACGGACUCCUGCAAAGCUGCAUGGCCUGACUCCUGCAAAGCUGGACCUCCUGAGCCUACCUAGUGGAACUCGCCAGUCAAAUUGGCGGUUCCCUAUGCAUGACAGUAUCACCAUUGCUACUUGCGAUUUGUUCACGGAGAGUAAACUCGCUAGUUCCACUGGCGAUUUGCGUGGUGCAUGCAUGCAAAACAUGUAAAUAACAGCCCCCUCCCGGAAAAACUUUAAAAAGGACCCCAUCUGGGAAAAUACUUUUUAAAAGUACCCAAAAUGAGAAAUUUGCCUAGUACUUGAUCCUUUUUCUCUUUGAAGAGGAUGAGCUCGAGAUUCACUUAUGAUCCUUGUGUUUAUUAUAAAAUUUAAUCCAUUAAUCAAGUUUGAAUCAAUAAGUUAUAUAUUAGUUCGAAUAAAAUUAGACUUGGUAUUCUAUAUUUAUUUUUUCAUGUGUAUUUUUUUAUUUAUUAAAAAGUUCUAGCAUAGUUCCAAAUAUAUUAAUUUUAUGACUUACUCAAAAUUGUUUUAAAUUUUAAAAAUAACUAUUUGUUUUUAAUAAAAAUGUAUAAAAAAUUAGGGGUGGCAUAAGAGAAAGGUCUAAGCAUAGUAAAAAAAAUAAUUAAAAAAUGCUUUUCUCACGAUGCAUAAGAAAAUGUCCCUUAUGCAUUUUCUUAUGAUCGAUUGAUUAGUUGGAGCAAACAAAAAUGAGAAAAAAUGCUCCACAAAAUAAUUCAAUCAUGUAUUUUUUUAAAAUUUCUUAAAAAUUUCUAGCAUAGUUCCAUAUAUAUAUUAAUUUUAAUUAUGACUAAAAUAGUUUAAAUAUAAAAAACUAUUUAUCUUUUAGAAAUAUCUUAAAAAUAAUUAAACAAAUAAUAAUUUAAGUGAAUAAAACAAAAAAAAGUUAUAAAAAAUAAUUUUAAAAGAUUUUUGUGGAUAAAUGAGAGGGGGUAUUUUGAAAUAAUUAAAAAAUAUUAAUUUUUUAAAAUACUGUAAUGGAUUAAUUGGAUAUUCAUCCAUAAAAAUGUUAAUUAAUGCAUUUAUUAAAUUGAUCAUGAACACAUUAAGUUUGUUUUAUGAAUUUUGAAUGGAUAUUCAUAAAUGAAAUUGUGGUAUUUUUGCUAAUGAUAAUAUUUUUUCUCAUCAUUAUAUGUAGUUCAUCUCUCUUCUAAGAAGGUAAAAAGUUAUGCUUUGUUUGACAUGUUGUGGUAUGGUCUACUUUGAUUAUGCAUAACAAAAUUGUGUUUCAAGGCGUUUUCUUUUGACUUUAAUGGUGUUUUGUACUUGAUAAAAAAGGUUGUUUUGUAGACAUGGUAUGAGACUAUGAGCAAUACUGUCCGUUCUUUUUUAAUUAGUGUAUUGAUCAUGUAAUUUAUCUUUAUUUGUUCCUUUGGUUUUGCAUUAAUUGUAAUACAUAUGUAUUAGGAUUGGAAUACCCGUUGUACUCUUUUUCUUAAAAUAAAUAAAUAAAUAAAACUUUGCUUUUAAAAUAAAUGUACGUUAGCCGCACUCUCUUUUUAAUAUUUUCUCUUAUACCAUUAGCUGAAAAAAUUAACAAUUUUGGUGGGAUUUUGUUUCUUUUAAUGAGGUAUCUCUAUCUAUCUAUAUCGAUUUUGAAAUGAAAUCCAUCCAAAUUGAUGACAUUUUAUAAAUUUCAAGCAAUGGUAAUAGAGUAUUAGAAAAAGAGUGUCAAUUUUUUUUGCUAAUAUUCCUUAAAAAAAUAAGAUCGUAUGAGUUUUUUAGGUAGAAGCACUUUGGACAUUUAUUACCAAUCCAACUUUGAUUUUUUUAUUUAUUUAUUAUUCACUACGGUGUGUUUGGAUCAACUGAAAAAAGUAGGUUAUUUUAAUAUUUGAUUAUAUUAAUAACAAUUAUUGGUAUAAUACAUUAUAAUCCGAAUAAGUUUUUGUUUGAGUUUGUUUCUUGUAAACUUAUAUAUUUUAAGAUAAUUAUUUUUUUAUGGAUGAAGAAAAUAAUUAUUUUUUAAUUAAAAAAAUACCUUUAAUUUUACAAAUUUGAGUUGUUUUUCAAAUUAUAUAAGAUUAACACACUAUAAAAAAACUAAAAUUUUCAAUAUACCGAAUCAUCAUUCAGAUAGUCUCUUCUCUCCAUGUGAAGAGUUAUAAAAAUUCUAUUAAGAAAUAAAAAAACUUCCGGUUGAAGAAGAAUAAUGAAGUCACCUAUAUCCAUGUAAAUCUUGUUUCCUAUCUCUACAAAUAUGAAGGAAUUUUUUAAUUAUUAUUCAAAAAAGUUUCUUCUAUUAUUUUCUCUUGUAUUAUUCACUAAAAAGACUAUAAUAAUAACGGAAUUACGGUUAGAGAGUAAAAAAAAAGAAUUCAAGGUUAACACCAUUGAGGAAAAAAAAAAUCCUUUCUAUUAGAACAUCUAAAAAGUUUUUUAUAUGAUUUUUAGUAAAAUAAAAAAAUAUUAAGCAUAAACAACACAUUGGGAAACAUUCUCGAAAGUUUUGAGUAAAUGAAUGUAACUAACAAGUAGAAAUAAUAAGAUUUCUCUUUUAUCCCAUUUCAUUAAUUCAUUAAGUAUGUAUAAAAAAGCGAUCAAUAUAGAAUCUCUUGCAUACUUAUACUCUUUCUUAUUUCUAUUUGAAAAUUUUUCUUAAUGUUAACAUUCUCGAACAGGUGUUAAGAAAAGUGCUUAAUUAGAUUAGACAUCAUUUACGGAUUCAGAUACAUUAUGUUAUUUAGACAAUUAUUAUAGAUUAAAAUAUUUCUAAAAAUUUUCAUGAUAAUUUGAUAUAAUGUAUUCAUAAUGAUUAUAUUAGUAUUUUAUAAGAAUUUUUCUAAAAUUACCAACCAUUUAUGUUCACAAUUGAAACACAAUUAAAGACCAAUAAAAUUUACUAGAACAAAUAACGUAUUUGUUAGAUUUUAAACUAGAUAUUGGGUUCAUAUAUUUCUAAGCACAAACAAACUAGAACAAAUCCAAGUUGAAUUGCAUCAAAUUUUCUAAAAGGCUAUUAGACAAUGAAUAUAAUCAUUAUUGGUCUUGGUGCUUAUAAUUAUACAAUAAAUAUGAACUUAGCAGACAAAAUGAAAAUUAUUUUUAACUUUAUUAAAAGAUGAGGAAACCAAAAAUUCACCUGGCAGAAGAAACUACUAAUGUACAGAAGCAGAACAAAUCUAAAUCUACAAAAAUGAAACGAAAGCUUGAGUAUAUUGCUGCAUAUACCAUCAAGAAUGAACAGUUAACAUGGCCUAGUGUCAUGAAUAAACACUUAAUCACCCAAAGAACCUAGAAGGAGAACAUAUGAGAUGGAAAUUAAGUCAUUUACCUUUCAACAACCAAGGUCAUGCCAUAAGUUGCUAUCUCAGGAAAUUUCCCGAAGCUAUCAUUAGUUCAUUACCAAACUAUUUAAUUUCAUUGACAUAUGUCUUGCUACCAGAUUUUAUGUAACAAAGAUUUUAAAAGCCUUAUAAAAAGCCAAGAUUGCAUGUGAAUCAAAUCGUAAAAAGGGUACAAUUCAAUAGUUUUGCAAAAAUAUAAUUGUAAUAGCUACAACAUCACAAUACUUCAAUUUCAAACAUGAAAUUAAACAUAUGACUUAAAACAACACUAAAAUUCUUUAUUAUAAUAUGUGGAGCCUCAAAAAAAGAAUUAAAAAGAAAUUACUUCUAUAUAUUGCUAGGAAACAGAAUCAUGAUUCCUCUAAAUCCAAGCUUUCAAACCAUUUUAUAUCCUAUUUAAGUCAAAUCGUUAAAACGUAUCUUUGUAUCCAUUUUAUGAAAGUGAAAUCAUCUUUAAAAUAUUAAUGCUUUAGGCUAAGACAAAUCAUCCCCAUUUUCAUUGCAUCGGUUGGAAAUCAUUGUAGCACCCGGCCAUAUCAAAUAAAUUAGUAUGUAAAGCACUAUUUCUUCCUACUUAGUCUAACCAAAAUUAAUUAAAAUGAAUAGGAGAUUUGUUUUAAUUAGAGUUAGAGUCCUACAUUACAAAUUGAGAUUAUUUGAUUCAUUAAUAAAUUUUAAGAGCCAAACAUUUCACAAAAUUAAUCUUAUGUGUUUAACCCAUGAUAACCGAUAAAUAUGGAUUAUUUUUUAUAAUAAAAAUAUAUUAAAAAUAUCUUUAAAAAUAUUUAUUUAAUAAUUAUUUUUAGCUUAAAUAUUAUGAAUUGAUAUUUUUUUCUAUUUAUAACUUACAUGUAUGAAAAAGAGGAAUUAAAAAAGAAAAAAAGAUUAAAAAAUAUAAAAAAUAUAAAUAAGAAAAAUGUUGACAUUAAACCCAAGUCUAAGGAAAACAAUCACGUUAACCAUUCUAAGAUUGAGAACUCUCUCAACCUAUUUUUUUUUGUAUUUUAAAUUAAUUCCUAUCUCUGUCUGUCAAUUAAAUUUAUAUUAAUUUAAGUAUAAAUAAAAUUAAUACUUAAAUUUUUUAAUAUUUUACUAUUUAAGAUAAUUUGAUGCAUUUAUGAAUGAGUUACCAACCCACUCAUACACUACAAUUAUUCCCUUGAAAUUCAGCUAUUAACAAUGAAGAAUUGGCCCUAUAUAGUAGCAGAAGUGGAUAUAUACCGAUAGGGGAGGAUAGCAAAAGCCAUUCAAAAACAAAGAAAAACAUAAUAUGUAGCUUUAUCCAUGUAUUAGGAUCAUAUUCGUGUAGCAUUAAAAGAACAAAGUUUUUUCAGUGACAAACUCCUAAAAGCAUCAUGUCAAAGCCGUAGAAUCAACGAGCAUCCCAUAAAUAAAAAUAAAUAAAAUCACCAUAUUCAUGCACAAUUACACGUAGAAAUUAAUAAAAUCUUGUCCCCCGACAUCCGUACAACAAGAUAACGAAGAAAAAUCUGGUUGAAGUCUACCAUAAACCCAAGGCCUUCAAUCCAAAACAUAUUGCAUUAAAUCAGGAGUUUCAACUUUCAAGCUAUUAAUCCAAUUAAGAUUUUAUAUCCUUUUUUUUAAUAUUCAACUUGAGCUAUCUGUCUCCAUUAUUAAAUCUUUAAAGUUCUGAAAAUGAAAAUUCAUCAUCCCUAUAGAACACAAAAUAAUACAGAUAGACAAGUGCAAGUUAUUACACAAAGUUGAUAUUCAAACUAUACAAUAAAAAGAGGAUCGAAUGACAAUAAUGAGAGUGAUUAAAAAAAUAUACAAAUUCAAGGUCAUGACAACUCUGAUUCUGUGAAAAGGGAAGUCCAAAUGAAUGAAGAAUAAAAGACACUCAUUACCUAGUGUUUAGUUAACUUUCUGCUAGAAAUACUCUUACUUCGAGCCACAUCAGGUGCCAACUAAUUCUAUUUCUGCUCUGAGAAACUACCAUAAAAAUUUGUUUGGGAAUCCACAACCCUACCACCUUUUUCUGCAAACCCCUAAUUGAAAAGAGAGUAUAAUAAACACAAAAAGCUUGUGGGGAAAAUUAAAAGAGAGGGAGAGGGAGAGGGAGAGAGCACGAGAGAAAAAUUAAAAUUAAAAUAAUAUUUUUAGGAUAGUUGUAAAUAUUGUAUCAUGUACCAUAGAAAUGAUUAUAAAUGUAUCUAGAUUCAUGUACUUGUCCCUAUAAAAGACUAAUAUUUUUAACAGAAAAUAAAAAAAAAAGAGUUAAAAUGAAACCAUAAAAAUUUAAAAUAAAACUUUUAAAAUUUGAUAUACUAAAUCAGAAAAGAAAAAUACUAAAAUAUAAACGAUGAAAAUAUUUUUUUUUAAAACUUAAUAUUCCUAAAAAUAAAAUAAAAAAAUACAAAGAACCAAAAGUAAUAUAUAUCUGGAGGCCUAAAUGCCAAAAACAAUCACACAACUAAAACGAAAAGGCAUCAUCUGGAUGGGGCAACGCAUUCAACAACUAAUGAUACUCCAAAUUAAAUGAGUAAAUUUAUAAAUGUACAAUCCAUUUUUGUGUGGAUUGGACAAGGCAAUUAAGAGAGAUGUGAUAUCAUAGCAAAUAUAGAUAUUAAAAAAUAUAAGAUGAAAGAGAAUGAGUUUUAAGUAGGAUGUAUGUUUAUAAUGAUAACUCCUAAUACUAUUCUUCCUAAGCUCAUAAAUCCAUAACAUCCAAGUUUGUGUGAAACAUAAGACUUAGACUUGGUGUAUAUUUGAAUUAAAGUUGACGAUUUUAAUAUUAUAGUAGUUUUAUUGUAUAAGUUCAAGAAGGACUUUGGUCUUGCUUUUUUGUAAAUUUGAUUUCGAAUAUAAGUGUGUAAACAUACUCUUAAAGAUAACUAAACAUACUCUUAAAGAUAACUAAAUAUAUCAUAUGAAAUAAAAAUGAGUUUAUGCUCCAAACCAAGUUUAAAACACCAAAAUAAAAUCCAAACAUGUUGAUAUCGAUGUUAUUAAUAGUCUAAUGCAAAAGAAGCAAAUCGUAGACAGAAAAUGAUAACUAAAAGCAUUCACCAAAGCCCACCAUGGCAAAAGUUGUGAUUAGUAUAUAAUGUUGGAGCAUGUUGUGCUUAUUAGAAAUCGAAAGCUCCACCUUUGGUUUCUUUGAUGACAAUAUAUAAGAGUGCCGUUGAGGUAGGUGACGUUGUAGUAGAAAUUCAUGUCGGGGACAACACAUCGUGGUAGCACCUACUGAUGGGGUGACAACACAUCUUUAGCAGGACAAUUAAAGAAUAGUCGAUGAAGAACAAUUGAAUAAAAAGCAAAAAAGAAUCACCAAUUCGAAACAAAUAGUAUAGCACUGCACUACUAACUCACCCCAUCAACCGCAAGUGGCAAAUGACUCCAAACCCAAAACAAUGAAGAAAAUAACCAUUAGUUAAAAUUCGUGAAAUGGGAAUAUCUGAGUAUAAAAUUACAACUAAUCUGAAGGAAUCUGCUAAACAACCUAAUCUUCUAUCAUUUUCAUUUGAUAUUUAAAUUAUUGACUGCUGAAACAAAACUCAUAAAAGAUAAAAUCUGCAACAAUAAUAAUAGAACUCUAUCUAAAACUUAUUCAAAAUUCAAAUAAGGCAGGUCUCAUAUCUUAGCUAGACANNNNNNNNNNNNNNNNNNNNNNNNNNNNNNNNNNNNNNNNNNNNNNNNNNNNNNNNNNNNNNNNNNNNNNNNNNNNNNNNNNNNNNNNNNNNNNNNNNNNCUGGUUCUAAUGUCACGACAGGGGACAUACGCCUCAAAGGUGCCAUAUGGUCGCUGCCGAGUGAAAACGAGAGCCUGUCGUGGGAGGACGGAGUUUUGGACUUGGAGAGUGCGGCGAUGCAUCAGAUAGGGCAUCUUCUAGGGCUUGACCACUCUAACAAAGAGGACUCUGUUAUGUACCCUAACGUAUUGCCAUGGCAGCAACGAAAGGUGGAGCUCUCGGUUUCUGAUAUGGAAAACAUUCAGCGUCACUACACUAACGGCAUCUCUGGCCACAGUGGGCGUUGGGGAGUGCUUUUAAUGAAUAUCUUGUCUCUUGGAUUUGCUUACGAGCUUCUUUAAUUUUGUAUUGGUAUUUGGGUUUAUGAGCUUUUGGGAACAAUUUCAUGACUGUUGACUUGAGUAUAAUGCAUGUGUUCCCCAAACCAGGCAUGACAAUCAAACCCAUAUCCGUGAUAUUGUUCAAAGAAAAUACACGUACCUUAAAAGAAAAUACUCUGGGAGCCAGAACAAAUUAAAUCUUACUAUAUAUUAACUACCUUUUUUAUAUUUUUAAUUUUGGAUAAAAAUAUUUUUACUCCAUCUGAAAUAUGGGAAAUUUAAAAUUAGUCUCUUUAAAUUUUUUUGUCUCAAUGUCUCUAAAAUUUUAACAUGUUAUUUCAUUUAGCAUGUUAAUUAGUUUGUUACUAAACAAUGUAUCUAACACCUUAUGAUCACCAAUUUUUCAUUUUCUGUCAGUUCACCCUGUGACAUUUUUUCACUUUCUUUGGCCAUUCUUAGGGAUUCUUGGAGCAUCAUUCACCUCUUGAUCAUGGCGCACUUGAUGCCUUGGAUUUUUUGGAGGUUUAAAAUGCAUGGGCUGGGAUUUUUGAAGAUCAAGGUUAUUGUCACCUAAACACGUGGUUUUCUUUUCUAUUUCUACCAUCUUAAAAUACUUUUAUGCUUGUAUUUAUUGAUCUUAGUUUGGGGUUUGAAUUUCUUUUUAUCAUGACCAUCUAAGCUUAUAUUAUGAGGGAUGUUGUGACUUGAAUAUUAUGAAUUUUUCUAAUGUGUUGUGUAUAUUUGUCUUAUUGUACUUAAUUUUGAGUUUGGGAAUUGACUUUAAAGUGUUAAUUAAUAGACUAAUUAGUAACCAUCCAUAGAGACGUUCCCUAAUGUUCCAUUCAAUUAAUUAUACUUUUAGUAGUUUUUAACCUGUGAAGUUCAAAUAAUUAAGACGAAAAAAAUAGCAAAAGAAAUAUAUUAAAUGGCCACAACAUAGGGGACGUACGGUGCUUUAACUUUGAUAUUAUUAGCAUAAUCUUUUAACAAAUUGAGUUAAUGAGUCAAUUACGUUAUAAAAUAAAUAAUGUUACUAUACGUAAUAUUAAAAUUUCUAAUGUAUAUUUAAUACGGAUGUAAAUUUAAAUAAUAAAUUUUGUGACAAUUAAUUUUGAUAUAAGUCAUACAAAUUAUUUAAUUCGUAUAAUUUAUAUCAAAAUUAAUUGUAAUAAAAUUUAUUAUUUAAAUUUAUAUGCGUAUUAAAUAUACAUUAGAAAUUUUAGUGUUAUGUAUAGUAACAUUAUUUAUUUUAUAACAUAAUUGAUUCAUUAACUCAGUUGAUUAAAGCGUUAUGUUAAUAACCUGAAAAUUUACAGAAGAAUUUUUUUUUUGUAAGAGUUACGAGUGAAGGACAAGGCAAAAUUAGAAAAAUAAAAAAAUACUGGGUACAUCAGAAAUACUAUUGAUACACCUAGCAACACUCUUUUAGAAGGUAGCUUAAUAUAGAACUUAGCUAAGAAGUAAAUAAAUGUUUGUUAAAAAUUAUUUUUCUUUCACGAUCGAACUCAAAUAAUUUAAUUUUAUUUUCAACACAUUAAUCAUUUUAUUUUAUGUUGAAUCAUUUGAUUUCAAGUCAUAUGUUCUUAUCAAUCCUUAUCAAUGAAGUUUUCUCAUAUGUUAAAAAAAAGCCCCGAAAAUAAAGAAGGGCAAAAAAAGAAAGGGCCUCAAUAAAUGGAGAUAGAAAAAAAUAGUGAGUUCAUACAAGCAAGCCUUCGGUGAAUGCCACUUUAUCAAUCCAGAAAAGUACGAUUGCUCGAAAGGAUAAAUAUAUUUAGAUGCCGAAAAUACUAUUAUACACCUAUUAAAAAAGAGUGAAUUUUAUAAGUAUAUUAAAUAUAUGAUGUGAUGUGAGAAGAAGAAAAAAAAGAAAUGUUAAAAAACUAUUUAAAAUAAUGGAGUAUUCAAAAAUAACAUAUUUAGUACUUGGGCAAAUUUCCCCAUUUGGGGUACUUUUAAAAAGUAUUUUCCCAGAUGGGAUUGUUUUAAAAGAUUUUUCGGCAGGGGACUGUUUUGCACGUAAAAUGCAUGCAUGUUCCAAGCAAACUGCCAGUGAGACUGGCGAGUUUGCUCUCCAUGAACAAAUAACAGGUAAUAAUGGCGAUACUGCCAUGCAUAGGAAACCGCCAGUUUGACUGGCGAGUUCCACUAGGUAGGGCUUCAGCUUUGCAACAGGGAGCUCAGGAGCUCAGGCUUUUGCAGGAUGCAGGCGUGACAGGGAAAUCGUCACUCCUAUAGGCGAGUUAGUCUAAAGUGGAGUUGCCAAUGGUAUUGGCGAGUUAGGUGGGAGGUGCCACCUGCAUUGGCGAUUUAGCGUGUAAAUAUAGGUCCUUUUACGUUGCAGUUUCAGUGUGUGUUGCACUUUUUUAAAAGCUCUCAACUCAAAAUUUCCUUCUUCUCACGUAGUUUCAGUGUGUGUUACACUUUUUUAAAAGCUCUCAGCUCAAAAUUUCCUUCUUCUCACGUUUACAUUUGUUUUGUCAUAAGCUUUCCAAAUUUGGUGGUUCAGGUUUAAUUUGUAGCAUCAAUAUUUUCAGUCAAGUAAUUUUUUUUUAAUGUGAAGUUUUGAAUAAUUUUUUUAAUUAAAUUAGCUUUAUAUUUCUUAUGGUUGUUGGUGUGUGUUUAAAAUAAAAGAAAUUUGUACCAUCAUCUUUAUUUGAAGAAAAUAUUGAGUCCAAAAAUUGUAUUUUGAAUUUCAAGUUUUUAUUAUAUUUUUAAUUAGAUUAGGUUAGUUUUGAUGUUUUGUUAUUGUGUUAAAAAUUGAUCAAGUGUAUACUUUUAAAAGAUUUUAAAACUGAAAAAUUUUGUACCAUCAUAUUUAUUUGAAGUAUUUUGAGUGUGGAAUUUUUUUUAAUAUGAGGUUGUAGUAAUAUUUUUUUUAAAUUACUUUAGGUUGAUGUUAAUGAUUUGUUGGUAUGUGGUAAAAAUUAAUGAGCGUUGAACUUGAAUGGUAUUUUAAAUUUUAAUAUGAAGUGUGUAGUAUAUAAUUAAUAUGUGUACUUUUAAAGUGUUGUUUAGUUCAGCGUUUUUAAAUUUAUACUUUUAAGUCUAUGACAUCAUUUUUAUUUUAAUGUAUUUAUAGUAAUUUUGUAAUUACGUUUAUUUAUUUAGAAUUUAUUAUUGUUAACAUUAAUUAUUUAUAAUACUAACUUUGGUUAUGGUUUAUUUUGCCUUUAAAAUUAGUUCGUUGGAAUCGUUUAUAUUUUUUAAGUGUGUACCAUUAUAUUUAUUUAAAGUUAAUAUUUUUUGUAUAUAAUAAAAUUAUAAUGUGAAGUUCCAGCAAUGGGAUUUUUUGUGAUUUCAUUUUGUUAUUUUGAAUUUAUUAUGAUUAAUUAUUUAAAAUAUUGUUUUUGUAGGUACAUCAUGAAUUCAGUUAUAAUAGUAUUAUAUUUCAAUGAAAGGGUAUAUGAAGAUAAUGAUGGUGUAAGAUUUGAAGACAAUAAAAAAGCGAUUCAGAUUAAACGUGGAAUUAGUUUCAAUGUUUUGAAGAAAAAAAUUGGAGAUAAUGUAAAGUUAGAAAAUAAUGAAAUUAUUUGUGCUAUCAGUUGUAGAUUUUUAGUGUCUGAAAAAUAUGUUGCGUUACAAAUUUGUGAUGACGAAGAUGUUGAAACCAUGCUCAAAAGUUUUAAACAACAAGAUCAAAUGUCAGCUUUGAAAUUGACAACAAAAAUUUUACAUUAAAAAAAUUAACUACACUUACAAAAAAUCAAUUGAAUAUACAUACCACAUAAUUAAAAUCUGAAUAAAUAACAAAAUACAUCAAUUUGAACAAAUAACAAAAUUAAAAAUAACAAUACGUACACAAAUUUCAAUAAAUGCUCUAAAAUACUCUACAAAUAACAAAAUUACAAAUUAAACACGUACAUAAAUUUAACACAACAAAACUUAAAAUAUUACCUAAAAUACUCUACAAAUAACAAAAUUAAAAAUUACAUGCCUACACAAAUUUAAAUAAAUGACCAAAUUAAAAUACAUAACAAAAUUAAAAAUUUAAACACGUACAUAAAUUUAAUACAAAAUAACUUAAAAUACUACCUAAAAUACUCUACAAAUAACAAAAUUAAAAAUUAAAUAACUACAUAAAUUUAAAUAAAUGACCAAAUUAAAAUACAUAACACAAAAUUAAAAAUUAAAUACCUACACAAAUUUAAAUAAAUGACCAAAUUAAAAUACAUAACAAAUUUAAAAAUUUAAACACGUACAUAAAUUUAACACAAAAAAACUUAAAAUACUACCUAAAAUACUCUACAAAUAACAAAAUUAAAAAUUAACAUACCAACAUAAAUUUAAAUAAAUGACCAAAUUAAAAUACGUACAUAACAAAAUUAUAAAAUAAAACACGUACAUAAAUUUAACACAACAAAACUUAAUUUACUAACUAAAAUACUCUACAAAUAACAAAAUUAAAUAUUAAAAUACCUACAUAAAUUUAAAUAAAUGACCAUAUUUUUUUUCCAAUUAUUAAAAUUUAAAUUAAAUAACAUAUAUUAUACACAAAAAAUGGUAAUAAAUCAAAAAAUUACUAUGGGAUAAAAAAAUUAAGCGAUCUAUAUAUAUAAAAUUAAUAAAGUAUCAUAUAUUUCAAUAAAAACUAUAAAUAAGUAAACUAAAUACUAUUCACAUUCUAACUAAACCUAAAAUACCAUAUAUAUAAUACAAAAAAUAUCAUACAAACCUAAUAAAUCUAAACCAAAUAAUAAUAACAUAACAACUAAAAUUAACGUACAAAUAAUUUUAUCACAAAUAAUAACAUAAAUUUAAAAAAACCUAACUUAACUAAUAUUAACAUAUCAACUAAAAUUACCAAGUUAAAAAACACUUACUAACAGAGAAAUCACAUAAUAGGAAGAGGAGAGAAACCACGUAAUAGGAAGAACAAAGCACUGUCCUACAAACAUAAACAAACCUAACGUAAAUAAUUUUCAUAUAUCAACUACAAUUAAGUUAAUAUAUAUAUAUAUAUAUAUAUAUAUAUAUAUAUAUAUAUAUAUAUAUAUAUAUAACACAACAAAUAUUUACCAUUAAAAAAUACUUACCAAGAAGAAAAAGCAGAACAAAAUAAGAACACCACAAUGUACUGCAGGAACUUAUGAAGAAGAGGAAGAAAGCAAUGCAAGGAAGCAGCUGCGGAAUCCGUCAUGGAGCUUCUUCUUUUAUAAUGCAACAUUUUUCAAUUACCACAACUCGCCAGCCACGCUAACGAUUUCCGUCAAAUGCAAAUUGCCAUCCCUAUUGGUGGUUCCCUCCUGCACUGCUGACCACUGAACCCUGCACACCUGCAUGGCCUGACGGACUCCUGCAAAGCUGCAUGGCCUGACUCCUGCAAAGCUGGACCUCCUGAGCCUACCUAGUGGAACUCGCCAGUCAAAUUGGCGGGUCCCUAUGCAUGACAGUAUCACCAUUACCACAACUCGCCAGCCACUCUAACGAUUUCCGUCAAAUGCAAAUUGUCAUCCCUAUUGGUGGUUCCCUCCUGCACUGCUGACCACUGAACCCUGCACACCUGCAUGGCCUGACGGACUCCUGCAAAGCUGCAUGGCCUGACUCCUGCAAAGCUGGACCUCCUGAGCCUACCUAGUGGAACUCGCCAGUCAAAUUGGCGGGUCCCUAUGCAUGACAGUAUCACCAUUGCUACUUGCGAUUUGUUCACGGAGAGCAAACUCGCUAGUUCCACUGGCGAUUUGCGUGGUGCAUGCAUGCAAAACAUGUAAAUAACAGCCCCCUCUCGGAAAAACUUUAAAAAGGACCCCAUCUGGGACAAUACUUUUUAAAAGUACCCAAAAUGAGAAAUUUGCCUAGUACUUGAUCCUUUUUUCUCUUUGAAGAGGAUGAGCUCGAGAUUCACUUAUGAUCCUUGUGUUUAUUAUAAAAUUUAGUCCAUUAAUCAAGUUUGAAUCAAUAAGUUAUAUAUUAGUUCGAAUAAGAUUAGACUCAGUAUUCUAUAUUUAUUUUUUCAUGUGUAUUUUUUUAUAUAUUAAAAAGUUGUAGCAUAGUUCCAAAUAUAUUAAUUUUAUGACUUACUCAAAAUUGUUUUAAAUUUUAAAAAUAACUAUUUUUUUUAAUAAAAAAUUAGGGGUGGCAUAAGAGAAAGGUCUAAGCAUAGUAAAAAAAAAAUUAAAAAAUGCUUUUCUCACGAUGCAUAAGAAAAUGUCCCUUAUGCAUUUUCUUAUGAUCGAUUGAUUAGUUGGAGCAAACAAAAAUGAGAAAAAAUGCUCCACAAAAUAAUUCAAUCAUGUAUUUUUUUAAAAUUUCUUAAAAAUUUCUAGCAUAGUUCCAUAUAUAUUAAUUUUAAUUAUGACUAAAAUAGUUUAAAUAUAAAAAACUAUUUAUCUUUUAGAAAUAUCUUUAAAAUAAUUAAACAAAUAAUAAUUUAAGUGAAUAAAACAAAAAAAAGUUAUAAAAAAUAAUUUUAAAAGAUUUUUGUGGAUAAAUGAGAGGGGGUAUUUUGAAAUAAUUAAAAAAUAUUAAUUUUUUAAAAUACUGUAAUGGAUUAAUUGGAUAUUCAUCCAUAAAAAUGUUAAUUAAUGCAUUUAUUAAAUUGAUCAUGAACACAUUAAGUUUGUUUUAUGAAUUUUGAAUGGAUAUUCAUAAAUGAAAUUGUGGUAUUUUUGCUAAUGAUAAUAUUUUUUCUCAUCAUUAUAUGUAGUUCAUCUCUCUUCUAAGAAGGUAAAAAGUUAUGCUUUGUUUGACAUGUUGUGGUAUGGUCUACUUUGAUUAUGCAUAACAAAAUUGUGUUUCAAGGCGUUUUCUUUUGACUUUAAUGGUGUUUUGUACUUGAUAAAAAAGGUUGUUUUGUAGACAUGGUAUGAGACUAUGAGCAAUACUGUCCGUUCUUUUUUAAUUAGUGUAUUGAUCAUGUAAUUUAUCUUUAUUUGUUCCUUUGGUUUUGCAUUAAUUGUAAUACAUAUGUAUUAGGAUUGGAAUACCCAUUGUACUCUUUUUCUUAAAAUAAAUAAAUAAAUAAAACUUUGCUUUUAAAAUAAAUGUACGUUAGCCGCACUCUCUUUUUAAUAUUUUCUCUUAUACCAUUAGCUGAAAAAAUUAACAAUUUUGGUGGGAUUUUGUUUCUUUUAAUGAGGUAUCUCUAUCUAUCUAUAUCGAUUUCGAAAUGAAAUCCAUCCAAAUUGAUGACAUUUUAUAAAUUUCAAGCAAUGGUAAUAGAGUAUUAGAAAAAGAGUGUCAAUUUUUUUUGCUAAUAUUCCUUAAAAAAAUAAGAUCGUAUGAGUUUUUUAGGUAGAAGCACUUUGGACAUUUAUUACCAAUCCAACUUUAAUUGUUUUUUUAUUUAUUAUUCACUACGGUGUGUUUGGAUCAACUGAAAAAAUUAGGUUAUUUUAAUAUUUGAUUAUAUUAAUAACAAUUAUUGGUAUAAUACAUUAUAAUCCGAAUAAGUUUUUGUUUGAGUUUGUUUCUUGUAAACUUAUAUAUUUUAAGAUAAUUAUUUUUGUAUGGAUGAAAAAAAUAAUUAUUUUUUAAUUAAAAAAAUACCUUUAAUUUUACAAAUUUGAGUUGUUUUUCAAAUUAUAUAAGAUUAACACACUAUAAAAAAACUAAAAUUUUCAAUAUACCGAAUCGUCAUUCAGAUAGUCUCUUCUCUCCAUGUGAAGAGUUAUAAAAAUUCUAUUAAGAAAUAAAAAAAACUUCCGGUUGAAGAAGAAUAAUGAAGUCACCUAUAUCCAUGUAAAUCUUGUUUCCUAUCAAAUCGUAAUAGCUACAACAUCACAAUAGUUUUGCAAGAUUGCAUGUGAAUCAAAUCGUAAAAAGGGUACAAUUCAAUAGUUUUGCAAAAAUAUAAUUGUAAUAGCUACAACAUCACAAUACUUCAAUUUCAAACAUGAAAUUAAACAUAUGACUUAAAACAACACUAAAAUUCUUUAUUAUAAUAUGUGGAGCCUCAAAAAAAGAAUUAAAAAGAAAUUACUUCUAUAUAUUGCUAGGAAACAGAAUCAUGAUUCCUCUAAAUCCAAGCUUUCAAACCAUUUUAUAUCCUAUUUAAGUCAAAUCGUUAAAACGUAUCUUUGUAUCCAUUUUAUGAAAGUGAAAAUCAUCUUUAAAAUAUUAAUGCUUUAGGCUAAGACAAAUCAUCCCCAUUUUCAUUGCAUCGGUUGGAAAUCAUUGUAGCACCCGGCCAUAUCAAAUAAAUUAGUAUGUAAAGCACUAUUUCUUCCUACUUAGUCUAACCAAAAUUAAUUAAAAUUAAUAGGAGAUUUGUUUUAAUUAGAGUUAGAGUCCUACAUUACAAAUUGAGAUUAUUUGAUUCAUUAAUAAAUUUUAAGAGCCAAACAUUUCACAAAAUUAAUCUUAUGUGUUUAACCCAUGAUAACCGAUAAAUAUGGAUUAUUUUUUAUAAUAAAAAUAUAUUAAAAAUAUCUUUAAAAAUAUUUAUUUAAUAAUUAUUUUUAGCUUAAAUAUUAUGAAUUGAUAUUUUUUUCUAUUUAUAACUUACAUGUAUGAAAAAGAGGAAUUAAAAAAGAAAAAAAGAUUAAAAAAUAUAAAAAAUAUAAAUAAGAAAAAUGUUGACAUUAAACCCAAGUCUAAGGAAAACAAUCACGUUAACAUUAUUAAGAUUGAGAACUCUCUCAACCUAUUUUUUUUUUGUUAUUUUAAAUUUAAUUUCUUAUCUCUUGCCUGUCAAUUAAAUUUAUAUUAAUUUAAGUAUAAACAAAAUUAAUACUUAAAUUUUUUAAUAUUUUACUAUUUAAGAUAAUUUGAUGCAUUUAUGAAUGAGUUACCAACCCACUCAUACACUACAAUUAUUCCCUUGAAAUUCAGCUAUUAACAAUGAAGAAUUGGCCAUAUAUAGUAGCAGAAGUGGAUAUAUACCGAUAGGGGAGGAUAACAAAAGCCAUUCAAAAACAAAGAAAAACAUAAUAUGUAGCUUUAUCCAUGUAUUAGGAUCAUAUUCGUGUAGCAUUAAAAGAACAAAGUUUUUCAGUGACAAACUCCUAAAAGCAUCAUGUCAAAGCCGUAGAAUCAACGAGCAUCCCAUAAAUAAAAAUAAAUAAAAUCACCAUAUUCAUGCACAAUUACACGUAGAAAUUAAUAAAAUCUUGUCCCCCGACAUCCGUACAACAAGAUAACGAAGAAAAACCCCGGUUGAAGUCUAUCAUAAACCCAAGGCCUUCAAUCCAAAACAUAUUGCAUUAAAUCAGGAGUUUCAACUUUCAAGCUAUUAAUCCAAUUAAGAUUUUAUAUCCUUUUUUUUAAUAUUCAACUUGAGCUAUCUAUCUCCAUUAUUAAAUCUAUAAAGUUCUGAAAAUGAAAAUUCAUCAUCCCUAUAGAACACAAAAUAAUACAGAUAGACAAGUGCAAAUUAUUACACAAAACUGAUAUUCAAACUAUACAAUAAAAAGAGGAUCGAAUGACAAUAAUGAGAGUGAUUAAAAAAAUAUACAAAUUCAAGGUCAUGAUGACAACUCUGAUUCUGUGAAUAGGGAGGUCCAUAUGAAUGAAGAAUAAAAGCCAGUCAUUACCUAGUGCUUAGUUAACUUUCUACUAGAAAUACUCUUCCUUCGGGUCACAUCAGGUGCCAACUAAUUCUACUUCUGCUCUGAGAAACUACCAUAAAAAUUUGUUUGGGAAUCCACAACCCUAACACCUUUUUCUACAAACCCCUAAUUGAAAAGAGAGUAUAAUAAACACAAAAAGCUUGUGGGGAAAAUUAAAAGAGAGGGAGAGGGAGAGAGCGCGAGAGAAAAAAUAAAAUUAAAAUAAUAUUUUUAAGAUAGUUUUAAAUAUUGUAUCAUGUACCAUAGAAAUGAUUAUAAAUGGAUCUAGAUUUAUGUCCUUGUCCCUGUAAAAGACUAAUAUUUUUAACAAAAUAAAUAAAAAAGUUAAAAUGAAACUAUAAAAAUUUAAAAUAAAACUUUUAAAAUUUAAUAUACUAAAUCAGAAAAGAAAAAUACUAAAAUAUAAACGAUGAAAAUAAUUUUUUUAAAACUUAAUAUUCCCUAAAAAUAAAAUAAAAAAUCCAAAGAACCAAAAGUACUAUAUAUCUGGAGGCCUAAAUGCCACAAACAAUCACACAACUAAAACGAAAAGGCAUCGUAUGGAUGGGGCAACGCAUUCAACAACUAAUGAUGCUCCAAAUUAAAUGAGUAAAUUUAUAAAUGUACAAUCCAUUUUUGUGUGGAUUGGACAAGGCAAUUAAGAGAGAUGUGAUAUCAUAGCAAAUAUAGAUAUUAAAAAAUAUAAGAUGAAAGAGUAUGAGUUCUAAGUAGGAUGUAUGUUUAUAAUGAUAACUCAUAAUACUAUUCUUCCUAAGCUCAUAAAUCCAUAACAUCCGAGUUUGAGUGAAACAUAAGACUUAGACUUGGUGUAUAUUUGAAUUAAAGUUGACGAUUUUAAUAUUAUAGUAGUUUUAUUGUAUAAGUUCAAGAAGGACUUUGGUCUUGCUUUUUUGUAAAUUUGAUUUCGAAUAUAAGUGUGUAAACAUACUCUUAAAGAUAACUAAACAUACUCUUAAAGAUAACUAAAUAUAUCAUAUGAAAUAAAAAUGAGUUUAUGCUCCAAACCAAGUUUAAAACACCAAAAUAAAAUCCAAACAUGUUGAUAUCGAUGUUAUUAAUAGUCUAAUGCAAAAGAAGCAAAUCGUAGACAGAAAAUGAUAACUAAAAGCAUUCACCAAAGCCCACCAUGGCAAAAGUUGUGAUUAGUAUAUAAUGUUGGAGCAUGUUGUGCUUAUUAGAAAUCGAAAGCUCCACCUUUGGUUUCUUUGAUGACAAUAUAUAAGAGUGCCGUUGAGGUAGGUGACGUUGUAGUAGAAAUUCAUGUCGGGGACAACACAUCGUGGUAGCACCUACUGAUGGGGUGACAACACAUCUUUAGCAGGACAAUUAAAGAAUAGUCGAUGAAGAAAAAUUGAAUAAAAAGCAAAAAAUAAUAUAUAUAUAUAUAUAUAUAUAUAUAUAUAUAUAUAUAUAUAUAUAUAUAUAUAUAUAUAUAUAUAUAUAUAUAUAUAUAUACCUUUCUAAUUAAAUAUUUUAAUAAUAUAAUAAAAUAAAAUAGUAAAUUAUAAAUUUAAAAAUACUAAAAUAAGUAAAUCUAAUAAUAUAUUACUAUGGGAUGAUAAUUUACUGAUGUUAUAGUAAUGAUAAACCAUUUUUAUCUUAAAUUUAAUAUUAUUAGAAAAUAAUAAAAACAUGUUAAACAAUAAUAAAUAUAAAAUAAUCUAAAUGAUUAAUUGUUGUUAUUAUGAAUCAUUUUCAAUGAAAAAUAUGAAUGAUAUCUUUUAUCUUCUUAGCUUUAAUGGUAGUUUUAUGUAGUUUUAGAAUAACCUAACUUUUAACCCUCUUACAAUUGAAAAAUAGUAAUAUAUAGAGGAAAUGAGGCUUAACUUGGGAACAAUAUAUAUUUAAAUACAAUAAAGUAUAAUCAGCAUUUGUGGUAUAAAUCUAGUCGGAAUCAUGUCUGUUUUCGUCAUGCAGGGGCAUAACAUUAGGCCUUCUAAUAAAAUGGUAAAUAUUAUUUUAUCCGUAUAUAAUACAUUCGUUGUUGGAGGAAGACAUAUUUUUACCAUAAUUUCUUAAAAAAAUAAAUCACUCAAUAAAGUGUUUCCUCCCAAGUCGUAAGAAAAUAAUCAAGCUAUAGAUGCGCUACGAAAUUAAUGUUUUGUAAAAUGAAAUAUAUAAAUAGGAAGAACUUGUAAAAAAAAAAAAUAGAGAUAAACAAUGAAGAAAAUAACCAUUAGUUAAAAUUCGUGAAAUGAGAAUAUCUGAGUAUAAAAUUACAACUAAUCUGAAGGAAUCUGCUAAACAACCUAAUCUUCUAUCAUUUUCAUUUGAUAUUUAAAUUAUUGACUGCUGAAACAAAACUCAUAAAAGAUAAAAUCUGCAACAACAAUAGAACUCUAUCUAAAACUUAUUCAAAAUUCAAAUAAGGCAGGUCUCAUAUCUUUAGCUAGACAAGAAGAUAUACUAUGAGGGCACUACUGACCCCGACCCUAUCACGUGCAUGCAUAUGAACUAUUAUCUACAAGUUGUCCCCACUGCCCAAGAACGAGAGCAAGUGCCAAAUGGCUCCAGCCCCAAACCACAGCGAGCAACACAAAACCAGUCCCCCAUGCCACUAGCUGUAUAUAUGCAGAUUACAAAAAGAGACGUGCACCACAUACAGAACAAAUUGAUGAAAAGUAUAAUAUAGUAUAUUUAUGAAUCACGAUUAAAAUAAAUUUCUAACAAUUACUUGAUUUUAAAAGCUUUUAUAGUUUUAAUUUCCAAAGGUUAUUAGUUUUAUUAAUAGUUUUUUAUACUCGUAUUAUAUUACAAAUAUAAUAAUGACUAAAUUAAGGUUAAUAUAUAUACCUCCUGAAUAUAUUUUGUAAAAAUACACAAACUUUCUCUAUUUUUUUAUUAUAAAAAAAUAAGGUUGCCAAGCCAUUGUUCAAAUCAAAGGGCGAUCCAAUAGUAGGUGAGAACUAAAAUAAAUUUUUAUUUUUUUUAUUUUAAAUGAAGAAUAAUACGUCGUAUUUUUUAAAUAAAUAUGGUCUUUUUAUUUUAUAAUAGCUAAUAAAAAAUUUAUAGAACUAAAUUUUACUUGUUUUAUUGUUGUUUUCACUCUCAUUCAAAGGAGUAAAAGAAUGAACUUGUCCCCGAUCCGAUAACCACACCCCACGCAGCGUAGUAAAUUUUCUUCAUCAAAAUUAUCUAUGUAAAACUCCAGCAGCAACUGGAAAAAGAUUUCGAUUUCUUUAGUUUCAGUACACCAAAGCACUCUCCAUGCGUGAAGUGAAACUAGAUGGUAUAUUCUGAAAGUGAUCCCGUGGAGAAUUUGGAAGAACAGAGAGGGUAUUCAGACAAAUUAUAGAAGCCACCGAUGAAUCAAUGAGUAGAAUAUGCUUCUUCUUUGAAGAUUAACUAUCCCCACCACGCCUGAAGGACUUAAAAGCUUCUAAAAUAAAUUUAAGAAUGAAUUUUUUUUAUUUAUUUAUAAAACUUAGUGUUCUUAUUUAUCAUUUAAAAAUGACACAUUUUAUUUUAUAAUAAUUUUUUUAAAGUAUAUUAGUACUAAAAAAUAUUUUAAUUUUUUUUUAAAACCUAAAGCCUUUCCUUGAGCUCCUUAGACCUUAAGCCGGUCCUUAUUAUCCCUGGGUGGGCAACUUGUUAAUGAUGAAUUGAAGACCCUUCAAACCUGUGUGCUACCUUAAGUAGGAGUGGAAUAUCAAUUGUUUCCACACUAGGGACAAAACUUCAUCAAACUCAUGAACUUACUCAGUCCCUUCCAGCGUGGAAUUCGCAACAACGACCCUCAGUCAUCUUCCUCUAUAUAUUACUACUCAGCUCUUAUACAUAGACCCACACAGUUAUACAACUCUAGAGAAUCAAGAAAAUUAUUUUAUAUAAAAAUAAUAUAUAUAUAUAUAUAUAUAUAUAUAUAUAUAUAUAUAUAUAUAUAUAUAUAUAUAUAUAUAUAACAUAUAAAUUAAAUAUUUUAACAAUAUAAUAAAGUAAAAUAGUAAAUUAUAAACUAUAAAAUACUUCAACAAUUAAGUUUAAUAAUACAUUAUUAGUGAAUAAUAACCUAUUGAUCUUAUAAUAAUGAUAAAUUAUGCUCAUCUCAAAUUUGUUGUUAUCAGAAAAUAAAACAUAUUUACUCAAAUUUGUUGUUAUUAGAAAACAAAACAUAUGUUAAAUAGUAAAUAUACAUAAAAUAAUCCAAAUAACUUACUGAUGUUGUUAUGAAUCAUUAUGAAUGAAAAAUGUGAAUGUUAUCUUUUAUCUUCUUAGCUUUAAUGAUAGUUUUAUGUAGUUUUAUAGUAACCUAACUUUUAACAUUCUUGCAAUUGAGAAAUAAUAAUGUAUAGAGGAAAUGAGGCUUAACUUGCGAACAAUAUAUAUUUAAAUACAAUAAAGUAUAAUCAGCAUUUGUGGUAUAAAUCUAGUUGGAAUCGCUUCUGUUUUCGUCAUGCAGUGGCAUACCUUUGGGCCUUCUAAUAAAAUGGUAAAUAUUAUUUUAUCCGUAUAUAAUACAUUCGUUGUUGGAGGAAGACAUAUUUUUACCAUAAUUUCUUAAAAACAAUAAAUCACUCAAUAAAGUGUUUCCUCCCAAGUCGCAAGAAUCAAGCUCUAGAUGCGCUAGGAAAUGUUUUGUAAAAUGAAAUAUAUAAAUAGGAAGAACUUGUAAAAAAAUAGAGAUAAACAAUGAAGAAAAUAGCCAUUAAAAUUCAUAAAAUGAGAAUAUCUAAGUAUAAGAUUACAACGAAUCUGGAUGAAUCUGCUAACAACCUAAUCUUCUAUCAUUUUCAUUUGAUAUUUAAAAUAAUUAACUGCUAAAACAAAACUCAUAAAAGAUAAAAUCUGCAACAAUAAUUGAACUCUAUCUAAAACUUAUUCUAAAUUCAAAAUUCAAGUAAGGCAAGUCUCAUAUCUUUAGCGAGAGAAAAGAAAAUACUAUCACGCCAAUACUGACCCCGACCCUAUCAGAUGCAUGAACUUUUAUGGAAAGUUGUCCCCACUCCCCAAACCCAAAACCGCAGCCAGCAACACAAAACCAGUCCCCCAUGCAAUAGCUGUAUAUAUGCAGAUUACAAAAUUAAAAGAGACACCACAGAACAAAUGAAUGAAAAGUAUAAUAGUAUAUUUAUGAACGAAGAUGAAAAUAAAUUUCUAACAAUUAAUUAAUUUUAAAAGCUUUCAUAGUUUUAAUUUGCAAAUGCUAUUAGUUUUAUUAAUAGUAUAUAGAUACUUGUAUUAUAUUACAAAUAUAAUAAUGAAAAAAUUAAGGUUAAUAUGCCUCCUAGAAUAUAUUUUGUAAAAAUACACAAACUUUCCAAAUUUUAUUUUUUAUUUUAAAUGAAAAAUAGUAUGUCGUAUUUUUUAAAUAAAUAUGAUUUUUUUAUUUUAUAAUAGCUAAUAAAAAAAAUUUGGAGAACUAAAAUUUAAAUUUUAGUUAUUUUAUUGUUGUUUUCACUCUCAUUUAAAGGAGUAAAAGAAUGAACUUGUCCCCGAUAACCACGCUACACAGCCUAGUAAAUUUUCUACACCAAAAUGAUCUAUGUAAAACUCCAGCAGCAGCUGGAAAAUACUCCGAUUCCUCUAGUUCCAGGUACACCAAAACACUCUCCAUGCGUGAAGUGAAACUAGAUGGUAUUUGCUGAAAGUGAUCCCGUGGAGAAUUUGGCAGAACAGAGAGGGUAUUCAGACAAAUUAUAGAAACCACCGAUGAAUCAGUGAGUAGAAUAUGCUUCUUCCUUGAAGAUUAACUAUCCCUAGUGGGCAACUUGUUAAUGAUGAAUUGAAGACCCUUCAAACCGUGUGUGCUACCUUAGGUAGGCGUGGAAUAUCAAUUAUUUCCACACUAGGAACAAAACUUCAUUAAACUAAUGAACUUACUCAGUCCCUUCUAGCGUGGAAUUCGCAACAACGACCCUCAGUCAUCUUCCUCUAUAUAUUACUCCUCAGCUCUUAUAUUUAGACGCACACAGUUAUACAGCUCAAGAGAAUUAUCAUACCCUUUAAGAUGAAACCGUACCUACGUCCAAUAUUCCUAUUAUUCCUUAUCCUUCUCGACCAAUCCACUUCGGCGAGUGCUUCUAAGAGUAGGUUUAUAGAAUUCUUUUCAAAAUUAAAGAAUUCUUUUAAUCCUAAGUCUGAAGAACUCAAAUCAAAAGAUAUAAAGAAGCUCCCGAGCGUCGAAUUUUUGAAGAAGAAACAUGACGGAGUUAAGGACUUCUCUCAAGAAGCUAACCUGAAAAUACCAACCUGGAUAGGAAGAAUAAUACGAAACCGGAAAGGAAAGCCGUCCCAGAAACCAAAGCACCCUCCCCCACCGCCAGACUACCGUGUACAACUAAAGUCCGAUCCCCCAGCGCCAAACGCACCACCGAAGCAAAUCAAUAUUAAGGGCCUGUCCGUCGUCAAAGAUUACUUAUCUGACUACGGCUACAUUGAAUCCUCUGGGCCAUUUACCGAUUCUUUCGACCAGGAAAUAAUAUCAGCCAUUAAGACCUACCAGAAUUUUUCCAAUCUUCAAGUUACCGGCGGCCUGAACAAACAGCUUAUUCAGCAAAUGUUGUCCAUACGAUGCGGUGUCCCCGACGUUAACUUCGACUACAACUUCACCGACGACAACAUUUCCUAUCCCAAAGCCGGACACCGCUGGUUCCCAAACAGAAACCUCACAUACGGUUUUCUUCCCGAAAACCAAAUCCCAGACAACAUGACUAAGGUGUUCAGAGAUUCCUUUGCGAGGUGGGCCCAAGCCUCGGGGACUUUGAGUCUCAGGGAGACAACCUACGACAACGCCGACAUCCAGGUAGGGUUCUACAACUUCACUAACUCGAGGAUUGAAGUGUAUGGUGGCAGCACUAUAUUUUUGCAACCGGAUUCUAGUAAGAAAGGGGUGGUACUUCUGGACGGUAACAUGGGCUGGUUACUUCCAAGUGAAAACGCCACACUGUCUAAAGAUGAUGGAGUUUUGGACUUGGAGACUGUGGCGAUGCACCAGAUAGGGCAUCUACUUGGACUUGAUCACUCUCACAAAGAGGACUCUGUUAUGUAUCCUUACAUAUUGUCAUCACAGUCAGAGCAACGAAAGGUGCAGCUUUCCAAUUCUGACAAGGCCAACAUUCACCUUCAGUUUGCUAAGCAUGAUUAGGAUGUGACUUCUCUGCUGCCAAACUCGCAUGACUCAGCAAGCCACGGUGGGGGUUUGGAUGUGCUUUUAGUUACCACUUUCUCUCUUGGAUUUGCUUACGUAUUGCUCCUUUUGUAUUAGUCGUUCCUGUCCCACCUUGCUUUUGGAAUUAUGAGCUUUUUAUAUUUCUGAUUGUUCAAUGUUUAUUGUAUGUGCUCCCCAACCUGUGGUGACUUUUCGGUUUAUUCUCACGUGGCUGUUUCUUAUAGGCCUUUCGACCUCCAAUAUUAAAUAAAAGAUCAUUUUGAGCUUUCUAAUUUUAAUUAUUUUUUAUUUAUAUCUCUUCUAAUAUUAAUAAUAAAUAAUACAAUAUAUAAAUAAAUAAAUGAUUAUAUACAAUUAAUCUUUUAGGAUGAUUAUUAUUUAAAAAUAGAAAAAUAAUAUAUAUUUAUAUAAUGUUAUGAGAGGUCUUUAGUUAUAUGCAGAAUGCACCGUUGGCCACUUAGGAGUUGGGAUUUCAGUAAUUAUUCUUGUGGUGGGUAAAGCUAUAAACUCGGUUUUGUGUAAGUUCCUUUCCUUUCUUGAGGAGUCUAUGGUGGGAAAGAGAAACACCUUUUCCACUGUAAGAAAGUUUUUUAAAACUGGUAUAUUACUUUAGUUUUAAUCUAAUGGCUCAUUUUUUUUUCUUUUUCUCCUUGUAUCUUUUAUUGCUUUUCUUCUUAUCUUUCCUUAUUUGUUCCUUCUCUUUUUUUUCUCCUUCUAUCCAAUCACAAAAUUUUAAAAAUAAAUAUUUUUAAUUAAAAUAUUUAAAAUUCUAAAAAUUCAAAUUUUCUCAGAAUUUUACAUUCGAUCUUUAUCUAAAUACACAAUUAAUCACAUUUAAUUGGAUCAUUAAGGAAUGAUUGCGGCGUUAUGUUUUUUCUUUUGUGUUUCUGUGUGAGUCAUUUGAGCGGUGCUGGAAAUAAGGAAGUAAGAUUUUUUACAUGAGCCUAAGUGCACUCUAGAAACAAUUAUAAAAAGAGAGCAAUCCAUUUCGACGAACUCCCUAAAAGCAUCAUGUCAAAGCCAUAGAAUCAAGGAGCAUCCCAUAAAUAAAAAUAAAUAAAAUCACCAUAUUCAUGCACAAUUACACAUAAAAAUUAAUAAAAUUUUGUCUGUCCCGACAUCCGUACACAAGAUAACGAAGAAAAAUCCGGUUGAAGUCUACCAUAAACCCAAGUCCUUCACACCAAAUCAUAUUGCAUUAAAUCAGGAGUUUCAACUUUCAAGCUAUUAAUCCAAUCAAGAUUUUAUAUUCCUUUUUUUUUAAUAUUCAACUUGAGCUAUCUAUCUCCAUUAUUAAAUCUAUAAUAUUUUGAAAAUGAAAAUUCAUCAUUCCUAUAGAACACAAAAUAAUACAGAUAGUCACGUGUAAGGUAUUACACAAAACUGAUAUUCAAACUAUAUAAUAAAAAGAGGAUCGAAUGACAAUAAUGAGAGUGAUUAAAAAAAUAUACAAAUUCAAGGUCAUGACAACUCUGAUUCUGUGAAUAGGAAAGCCCAAAUGAAUGAAAAAUAAAAGACACUCAUUACCUGACGCUUAUAUGCUAGAAAUACUUUUCCUUAGGUCGUAUCAUGCAUGUGCCAACUAAUUCUGCUAGAAAUACGCUUAGUUUUAAAUAUUGUAUCAUCUACCAUAUAAAUCAUUAUAAAUGAAUCUAGAUUCAUGUACUCAUCCCUAUAAAACAAUAAUAUUUUUAACAGAAAAUAAAAAAAAUUAAAAUGAAACUAUUAAAGAUUAAAAUAAAAUUUUUGAAAUUUAAUAUACUAAAUCAGAAAAAAAAAAAUAUAAACGAUGAAAAUAAUUUUUUAAAAACUUAAUAUUCCUAAAAAUAAAAUUAAAAAAAUACAAAGAACCAAAAGUAAUAUAUAUCCGGAGGCCUAUAAAUGCCAAAAACAAUCACACAACUAAAACGAAAAGGCAUCGUAUGGAUGGGGCAACACAUUGAACAACUAAUGAUGCUCCAAAUUAAAUGAGUAAAUUUAUAAAUGUAUAAUCCUUUUUUGUGUGGAUUGGGUGAGGAAAUUAAGAGAGAUGUGAUAUCAUAAGAAAUAUAGAUAUUAAAAAAUAUAAGAUGAAAGAGUAUGAGUUCUAAGUAGGAUGUAUGUUUAUAAUAAUAAAAUCCAUAACAUCCAAGCUUGAGUGAAACAUAAGACUUGGACUUGGUGUAUAUUUAAUUUAAAUUAAAGUUGACGAUUUUAAUAUUAUAGUAGUUUUAUUGUAUAAGUUCAAGAAGGACUUUGGUCUUGCUUUUUUUGGAAAUUUGAUUUCGAAUAUAAGUGUGUAAACAUACUCUUAAAGAUAACUAAAUAUAUCAUAUGAAAUAAAAAUGAGUUUAUGCUCCAAACCGAGUUUGAAACACCAAAAUAAAAUCCAAACAUGUUGAUAUCGAUGUUCUUAAUAGUCUAAUGCAAAAGAAGCAAAUCCAAGACACAAAAUGAUAACUAAAAGCAUUCCCCAAAGCCCACCAUGGCAAAAGUUGCCAUUAGUAUAAUGUUGGAGCAUGUUGUGCUGAUUAGAAAUCGAAAGCUCCACCUUUGGUUUCUUUGAUGACAAUAUAUAAGAGUACCGUUGAGGUAGGUGACGUUGUAGUAGAAAUUCAUGUCGGGGACAACACAUCGUGGUAGCACCUACUGAUGGGGUGACAACACAGCUUUAGCAGGACAAUUAAAGAAUAGUCGAUGAAGAACAAUUAAAUAAAAAACAAAAAAGAAUCACCAAUUCGAAACAAAUAGUAUAGCACUGCACUACUAACUGACCCCAUCAACUGCAAGUGGCAAAUUACUCCAAGCCCAAAACGCAGCGAGCAAAACAAAACCGCCAGUCCCCUGCUAGCUAUAUAUAUAUGCAGUUUACAAAAAGAGACACCACAAAUCAUCAACAAAUGGAUGAAUAGUAUAAUAGUAUAUUUAUGAAUCACGAUUAAAAUAUAUUUCUAUUAAUUAAUUAAUUUUAAAACUCUCACAAAUAAAGAAAGAUAUGUUAUUUUAAUUAUAUUUAUAUCAAGAUUAUUAAACUCAAGUGAUAAAAUUUCAUAAGAGUAUAUUUUAUAUAAAAAUAAUAUAUAUAUAUAUAUAUAAUAUUCUAAUUAAAUAUUUCAAUAAUAUAAUAAAACAAAAUACUAAAUUAUAAAUUUAAAAAUACUAAAAUAAUUAAAUCUAAUAAUAUAUUAUUAUAGGAUGAUAACUUACUGAUAUUAUAGUAAUGAUAGAUCAUUCUUAUCUUAAAUUUAAUAUAUGUUAAACUAUAAUAAACAUAAAAUAAUCUAAAUGAUUAAUUGUUGUUAUUAUGAAUCAUUUUCAAUGAAAAAUAUGAAUGAUAUCUUUUAUCUUCUUAGCUUUAAUGGUAGUUUUAUGUAGUUCUAGAAUAACCUAACUUUUAACCCUCUUACAAUUGAAAAAUAGUAAUAUAUAGAGGAAAUGAGGCUUAACUUGCGAACAAUAUAUAUUUAAAUACAAUAAAGUAUAAUCAGCAUUUGUGGUAUAAAUCUAGUCGGAAUCAUGUUUGUUUUCUUCAUGCAGGGGCAUAUCAUCAUGGUUAUCAAACUCUCAAGUUAACUCGCUAACUCUUACGAGUUUACGAGUCCACUUGUUCUCUGCGAGUUGACUCUUGAGUAAACUCUUUUCUUAGUAGACUCAGUAAACUCUAUAAACUCUAAGUAAACUCGGUAGACUCUCGAGUUUACCACCGAGUCAACGAGUUAGCAAGUUAAAAAAAUUAGACAAAAAUGUAAGUCAUUUUUUAUUGUUUUCUGUCUGUUUAGCAUUCAACAUACCUUUUAACAUGUUAUUCUCAAAUACAAAAUUCUCACCUUUAAUAAUAUCAAACUCUUGUUCUCUAAUAAAAUCAAAUACUCGAUGAGAAUAAUCUACCACUACUAUAACCUCUACAAGUUAUUGUUUAGUGGUGAUGUAUUAUUAUUAGACUUGGUUAUUUAAAUAUUCUGAACUUUAUGAUUUACUGUUUUACUUUAUUAUAUUGUUAAAAUGUUUAAUUAGUAUGUUAUUUAUAGAUAUUUUGUUAUUAUUUUUAUAUGAAAUAGACUCUUACGAGUCUACGAGUUGAAUCUACGAGUCGAGUCUAUAAAACUCUCACGAGUUGCGUAAACUGUCGAGUUUGAUAACCUUGCAUACCAUUAGGCCUUCUAAUAAAAUGGUAAAUAUUAUUUUAUCCGUAUAUAAUACAUUCGUUGUUGGAGGAAGACAUAUUUUUACCAUAAUUUCUUAAAAAAAUGAAUGACUCAAUAAAGUGUUUCCUCCCAAGUCGUAGUAAGAAUAUAAUCAAGCUAUAGAUGCGCUACGAAAUGUUUUGUAAAAUGAAAUAUAUAAAUAGGAAGAACUUGUAAAAAAAAAAAAUAGAGAUAAACAAUGAAGAAAAUAACCAUUAGUAAAAAUUCGUGAAAUGAGAAUAUCUGAGUAUAAAAUUACAACUAAUCUGAACGAAUCUGCUAAACAACCUAAUCUUCUAUCAUUUUCAUUUGAUGUUUAAAUUAUUGACUGCUUAAACAAAACUCAUAAAAGAUAAAAUCUGCAACAAUAAUAGAACUCUAUCUAAAACUUAUUCAAAAUUCAAAUAAGGCAGGUCUCAUAUCUUUAGCUAGACAAGAAGAUAUACUAUGAGGGCACUACUGACCCCGACCCUAUCACGUGCAUGCAUAUGAACUAUUAUCUACAAGUUGUCCCCACUGCCCAAGAACGAGAGCAAGUGCCAAAUGGCUCCAGCCCCAAACCACAGCGAGCAACACAAAACCAGUCCCCCAUGCCACUAGCUGUAUAUAUGCAGAUUACAAAAAGAGACGUGCACCACAUACAGAACAAAUUGAUGAAAAGUAUAAUAUAGUAUAUUUAUGAAUCACGAUUAAAAUAAAUUUCUAACAAUUACUUGAUUUUAAAAGCUUUUAUAGUUUUAAUUUCCAAAGGCUAUUAGUUUUAUUAAUAGUUUUUUUAUACUUGUAUUAUAUUACAAAUAUAAUAAUGAAUAAAUUAAGGUUAAUAUAUAUACCUCCUGAAUAUAUUUUGUAAAAAUACACAAACUUUCUCUAUUUUUUUUUAUAAAAAAAUCAAGGUUGCCAAGCCAUUCUUCAAAGCAAGGGUGAUCCAAUAGUAGGUGAGAACUAAAAUAAAUUUUAUUUUAUUUAUUUUAAAUGAAAAUUAAUAUGUCAUAUUUUUUAAAUAAAUAUGGUCCUUUUUAUUUUAUAAUAGCUAAUAAUUUUUUUUAUAAGACUAAAAUUUAAAUUUUAGUUAUUUUAUUGUUGUUUUCACUGUCAUAUUUUAGUUAUUUUAUUCUGUGAUUCUUGAGUAAAUUUUUUUCCACAUAGACCGAGUAAAUUCUAUACACUCUAAGUAAACUCGAUAGACUCUUGACCAACUUAGCAACAGUAAGCCUAAAGAAAUUUGCCCGAAAAUUAAGAACACGUAAAUUUGCCCGAAAGACCCGCAUCAAAAAGUUUGCCCGAUGAUGAAGUACGUGUAUCAAAAAAUUUGCCAAAACUAAGGUCCCUUUACUUCAUUCCCCCACCUGCAUAACUCUGCAAGCCACGGUGGGCGUUUGGAUGUGCUUUUAGUUACCACUUUCUCUCUUGGAUUUGCUUACGUAUUGCUCCUUUUGUAUUAGUGGCUCCUGUCCCACCUUGCUUUUGGACUUGUGAGCUUUUUAUAUUUCUGAUUGUUCAAUGUCUAUUGUGUGUGCUCUCCAACCUGUGGUGACUUUUCGGUUUAUUCAUGUGGCUGUUCCUUAUAGGCCUUUCGACCUCCAGUAUUAAAUAAAAGAUCAUCUUGUAGCUUUUUAAUUUUAAUUAUUUUUUAUUUAUAUCUCUUCUAAUAUUAAUAAUAAAUAAAUGAUUAUAUACAAUUAAUCUUUUAGGAUGAUUAUUAUUUUAAAAUAGAAAAAAUAAUAUAUAUUUAUAUAUUGUUAUGAGAGGUCUUUAGUUAUAUGCAUAAUGCACCCUUGGCAACUUGGGAGUUGGGAUUUCAGUAAUUAUUAUUGUGGUGGGUAAAGCUAUAAACUCGGUUUUGUGUAAGUUCCUUUACUUUCUUGAGGAGUCUAAGGUGGGAAAGAGAAACACCUCUUCCAAUGUAAGAAAGUUUUUUAAAACUGGUAUAUUAGUUUAGUUUCAAUCUAAUGCCUCAAUUUUUUUUUUCUUUUCUCCUUGUAUUUUUUAUUCCUUUUCUUCUUAUCUUUGCUUGUUUGCCCCUUCAAUUCUCUUCUUUCUCUCCCAUCUUCUUUCUCUCUCCUUCUAUCCGCCACCAUAGUGCACCGUCACUUGUAGUUGCUUUGGUGGUACUCUACCACAGAAGAAGCAAGUGGAGCCUUGUUUCCAUUACUUUACGGAAAUUCACUUAAUCACAUUCAAUUGGUUCAUUGAGGGAUGUUUUUUCUUUCGUGUUUCUGUGUGAGUCAUUUGAGCGGUGCUGCGAAAGAAGAAAAAACUCCGGCGGGUGCCCACUGGUUGUCUGCGGUGGAGAGAAGGAGUGUUGUGCGGAAGAAAAGAAGAGGGGCAAACAAGGAAAGACUGGAAGAAAGGAAUAAAAGAAAAAAUACGAAAACUAAACCAAGUGUCAAGGGAAACGAAAAGCAUAAUAGCAGGAGUCAAGUUCAAAAAUUAUACAAAGUUUCACAAAGAAGAUCCAUAUAUGUUUCAAAUGCUAGAUUCCUUCGAAUAGAUGGCUAUGGGUGAUAAAUUAUAUAUGAAUUGGAAAAUACAAAAAAUAUGUUGCAACUUGCAAGGGAUGCAUCAGUAACAAUUGUUUAUAAGUAGUACUGCCAUCAGUAUCAACUUUAUCAGCAAAAAAUAAGUUGCAACUUGCAAGGGAUGCACCACCCACUUACAGCUUAAUUAAUUGUCACCGAUAAAAAAAUGUUUGAUACACAUCCAAAAUCCUAUUUAACAUUUAGAUUGAGAAAAAAAUGAAAAAUAUAUAAAAUGAUAAAAUUUAUGAUAUAAUAAAAAAAUAAAAAAGUGUGGAUGCAAUAUUUAAAAUAAAAAAUAAUUUAUAAAUUAUUACUCAUGGAAAACGAGAACUCAAACCGAUACAUAGCCAUUAAUAUAAGCCUAAAAGGAAACAUCCAAUUACAAGUUGAAUGUUAAUAUAUGCACAGCCACUUACUGCAUACAAGAAGAUACAAUAGUAACAAGGACGAUUCCAACUUCUCUACUCGCGUAAUAGCUUUGUAGCUUCCCAUGCAUGUGACCCACUAGUUCUAAUCCUAACUGAUACAAUUACACGUAGGAAUAUUCACGAGUUGGUAUGAAUCAAAUCAAAUUUAAGGUAAAAUUAAAUUUACAUUAGUUAUAUUUGAUUAGAUUGAUUUGAUUUAAAUUUUGAUUUUUUUAUCAUUCAAAUUAAUUAAAAAGGGAUUAGUUUAGUUGAGUCAAUCAACUAUAACAAAAAAUUAAAUUGUAAUAUUUUUAAAUAUUUUUUAUGUUUAUUGUCUAUUUGAUAUAAAUAGGAAGAACUUGAAAAAGAAAAGAUAAACAACGAAGAAAAUAGCCAUUAAAAUUCAUAAAAUGAGAAUAUCUAAGUAUAAGAUUACAACGAAUCUGGAUGAAUCUGCUAACAACCUAAUCUUCUAUCAUUUUCAUUUGAUAUUUAAAAUAAUUAACUGCUAAAACAAAACUCAUAAAAGAUAAAAUCUGCAACAAUAAUUGAACUCUAUCUAAAACUUAUUCUAAAUUCAAAAUUCAAGUAAGGCAAGUCUCAUAUCUUUAGAGGGAGAAAAGAAAAUACUAUCACGCCAAUACUGACCCCGACCCUAUCACGUGCAUGAACUUUUAUCGACAAGUUGUCCCCACUCCCAAAGAACAAUUGCAAGUGCCAAAUGACUCCAAACCCAAAACCGCAGCCAGCAACACAACCAGUCCCCGGCCCAUGCCACUAGCUGUAUAUGCAGAUUACAAAAAGAGACACCACAGAACAAAUGGAUGAAAAGUAUAAUAGUAUAUUUAUGAAUCACGAUUAAAACAAAUUUCUAACAAUUAAUUGAUUUUAAAAGCUUUCAUAGUUUUAAUUUCCAAAUGCUAUUAGUUUUAUUAAUAGUUUAUUUAUACUUGUAUUAUAUUACAAAUAUAAUAAUGAAUAAAUUACGGUUAAUAUACCUCCUGAAUAUAUUUUGUAAAAAUAGACAAACUUUCUCUAUUUUUUUUUUAUAAAAAAAUCAAGGUUGCCAAGCCAUUCUUCAAAGCAAGGGUGAUCCAAUAGUAGGUGAGAACUAAAGUAAAUUUUUUUUUUUUUUUAAAUGAAAAAUAAUAUGUCGUAUUUUUUAAAUAAAUAUGGUCUUUUUAUUUCAUAAUAGCUAAUAAAAAAUUUAUAGAACUAAAAUUUAAAUUUUACUUGUUUUAUUGUUGUUUUCACUCUCAUUCAAAGGAGUAAAAGAAUGAACUUGUCCCCAAUAACCCCCCAUACAGCGUAGUAAAUUUUCUACAUCAAAAUCAUCUAUGUAAAAUUCCAGCAACAGCUGGAAAAGACUCCGAUUACUUUAGUUCCAGUACACCAAAGCACUCUCCAUUCGUGAAGUGAAACUAGAUGGUGUUUGCUGAAAGUGAUCCUGUGGAGAUUUUGGCAGAUCGGAGAGGGUAUUCAGACAAACUAUAGAAGCCACCGAUGAAUCAGUGAGUAGAAUAUGCUUCUUGUUUGAAGAUAAUUAACUAUCCUAUGACACUCAAGGACUUGAGAGUCUAAAUUUUAAGAAUGAAAUUUUUUAUUUACUCAUAAAAUUUAAUGUUAUUUAUCAUUUAAAAAUAUUUAUUAUUUAAGAAGGAGACAUUUUAUUUAUUCAUAUAAUUUUAUAAUAAGUUUUUUAAGAUAUAUUAGUACUAAAAAAAAUUAAGAUUAUUUUUUUGAAACCUUAAAGUCCUAACUUGGGGCUGCUUGGACUUAAGCCCGGCCUUAUUAUCCCUAGUGGCAACUUGUUAAUGUCCUUAUUAUCCCUAAGGGGUAACUUGUUAAUGAUGAAUUGAAGACCCUUCAAACCUGUGUGCUACCUUAAGUAGGAGUGGAAUAUCAAUUGUUUCCACACUAGGGACAAAACUUCAUCAAACUCAUGAACUUACUCAGUCCCUUCCAGCGUGGAAUAUCAAUUGUUUCCACACUAGGGACAAAACUUCAUCAAACUCAUGAACUUACUCAGUCCCUUCCAGUUUGGAAUUCGCAACAACGACCCUCAGUCAUCUUCCUCUAUAUAUUACUCCUCAGCUCUUAUAUUUAGACGCACACAAUUAUACAGCUCUAGAGAAUCAAGAAAAUUAUUAUACCCAUUAAGAUGAAACCGUACCUACGUGCAAUAUUCCUAUUAUUCCUUAUCCUUCCUUCGGCGAGAUGGGGCGAGGCUAAAAUUGAUAGGAAGACGAUAACAAUGUUUUGGGGCAAGGUUAAAGAUGCGACGAUAAAAAAUUUCCCGAGUCGUGAUGAGCGGAAGAAACUGAGGGAGUAUUACGAGAAAUUCAGGGAAUUCAUGGAUCGUGUAGAACAAAAGACGACCCCUCCCCCACCGCCAAUGUACCGUUUACAACCAAAGUCCCCUCCCCCACCGCCAAACGCACCACCGAAGCAAAUCAAUAUUAAAGGCCUGUCCGUCGUCAAAGAUUACUUAUCUGACUACGGCUACAUUGAAUCCUCUGGGCCAUUUAACGAUUCUUUCGAUCAGGAAAUAAUAUCAGCCAUUAAGACCUACCAGAAUUUUUCCAAUCUUAAUGUUACCGGCGACCUGAACAAACAGCUUAUUCAGCAAAUCUUGUCCAUACGAUGCGGUGUCCCCGACGUUAACUUCGACUACAACUUCACCGACGACAACACUUCCUAUCCCAAAGCCGGACACCGCUGGUUCCCAAACAGAAACCUCACAUACGGUUUUCUUCCCGAAAACCAAAUCCCAGACAACAUGACUAAGGUGUUCAGAGAUUCCUUUGCGAGGUGGGCCCAAGCUUCGGGGACUUUGAGUCUCACGGAGACAACCUACGACAACGCCGACAUCCAGGUAGGGUUCUACAACUUCACUGCCUUGAGAAUUGAAGUGGAGGUGUAUGGUGGCAGCCUUAUAUUUUUGCAACCGGAUUCUAGUAAGAAAGGGGUGGUACUUAUGGACGGUAACAUGGGCUGGUUACUUCCAAGUGAAAACGCCACACUGUCUAAAGAUGAUGGAGUUUUGGACUUGGAGACUGUGGCGAUGCACCAGAUAGGGCAUCUACUUGGACUUGAUCACUCUCACAAAGAGGACUCUGUUAUGUAUCCUUACAUAUUGUCCUCACAGCAACGAAAGGUGCAGCUUUCCAAUUCUGACAAGGCCAACAUUCACCUUCAGUUUGCUAAGCAUGACUCGGAUUUGACUUCUCUGCCAAACUCGCAUGACUCUGCAAGCCACGGUGGGCGUUUGGAUGUGCUUUUAGUUACCACUUUCUCUCUUGGAUUUGCUUACUUACUGCUCCUUUUGUAUUAGUGGCUCCUGUCCCACCUUGCUUUUGGACUUAUGAGCUUUUUAUAUUUCUGAUUGUUCAAUGUUUAUUGUAUGUGGCUGUUUCUUAUAGGCCUUUCAACCACCAGUAUUAAAUAAAAGAUCAUUUUGAGCUUUUUAAUUUUAA
rnacentral:lncRNA from 1 species